rnacentral:lncRNA from 1 species
UGUUUGAGACGGUGGAUCUAGAUUCCUCGGCAGCGAUGGAGGACGGAAGGGGGAGAGGUCCUUCCUUGGUCCCGUGGGACUGCUGAGUUCGAGGGCGUGCCACGGAACGGAAACGAAAUGCGUAAAUAAAUAGUUUUCGUAACCGCUGCCGUCCGCCGCUGGAAGGAUGAUCUCCGGGCUGUAUCUGGUUUGUGGGUCCGUUGAUGUAUUAAAUAGUCUCUCGUCUGGCACCAGUGAGCACUGCACAGUAUCUGUGAUUCUGUGUCCUGGAUCAGUUUGUUUUAUUUCUUUCUUUCUUUCUUGUUUUUAGUUUAAAAAAAUCCUUCUCUGAGUAAUAGAGAGAAAUCCCACCCUAGAGCUGAAAAUGAAUCCAAAUAUGCCAUGAGCUAGGUUUGAGACUGUUCGGAUUAGGCUCAGCUCUAAUUGAUAUUUGGUUUGGCUCAUGCUUCAUCCUAAACCCGAGCUAGAACCAAACCUGAUCUGGCCUUGCAGCCAACUCGGCUAGAAUUGGCCUUUAGAACUUUAUGCUUGAGGUCUGACCUAGGACCAACAUGUGUGAGUAGAAUUGGCCGGAGAUUGAGGAUUUUAAUCCCUUGAUCUCUAAAACUAUAUUCGGCUUUUUCGCCUAUUUUUUGAUUGAUGAUCGCUACUCUCGUCUUCGUUGCCCCUCUCAUCCAGUGAUCCUUCUUGAGUCCUAUUCCUUCUCUCGGCCUCUCAUGUUGAUUUCCGCAUCACAUCCCCCCUCCCAUCAUCGCCAGUUGCCAAUCCAAACUGAGGAUUGGGAUUGUAUCUUUCGCAUGAAUGCGAAUCAACCAUUAGAUCACCCACCCCACAAAUCUCAAAGCGGUCAGUGAAUGAUCCAAUGAUGGAUUCAUGUGAAAGAAAAUGAAUCAUUCUUUCGCGUGAAGAAUACAUCCCUAACGCCCAAGCAAGGCAAAUGGUACCCUCUCAUUGGUUGUCCUAGUUUGGAAUCUCUUUUCAUCCCUUUCUAACUACUUCCUACUAUUUGCUUUUCUCUCCAUAAUCUUUCUCUUUCUUUCCUUAUCUCAGUGGAUGAAACUAGGUCGAAAAGCUUGCCUUGAAGAUGCUAGCAAACUUAAAAAGUAUAAUUGUUUCAUGUUGAGUUGCAAUUAGAGAUUCCAAUUAGGGUUUAGGAAUUAGGAUUUAGAGAUUAUUUUUUUUUUUUGUAUGGAUAGCAAUUAUGAUGAAGGUUUCAGUGAUUUUAUUUAUUCUAAUACCAUGUACAGGUGAUUUUCUAUCUCUGGUCAAAUUCUUGCCUAUUUUAAUUAGAAUUUCAUCUUUACUAUUAUCAUAUGUUUUAAAGUCUAAAUAAAUGAUGCACAUGUAUUUUUAUUCUGUCCCGCUAUAAUAUGAAUCUGCCCUAAAUUUUCUUCUUAUUUAUUGGAUGUCAUCACAGCCAUUCUUGGGACCUUAUAGAGUUAAGAUUUAAUCUAUUUCGAUGAGUUGUUGAAUUAAUUGACCUGGCCUGAGGUGGGUUAUAACUAGCUCUUUGAUAAUGAAUGGCUUCAGUGUGUUUACGGUAUUUAGGUAAUGGGAUUCUCAAGCAGGCUUGUACUCCUCAACUUGUUUUUUUACCCUUUCCUCGGAGAAGAUGGAAUCGAUUUGAGGUAUGAACAAAACACUUAUUACAAGCCACUCACCAUGUUAUAUCCAUAGUAUAUAUAUUAUUGUUUAUAUGUGUUUUAGUACAUAUACCAUCCAUUGAUUGCUAUUUUAAUUCGGUAGUCCGUAUAUUGUUGCUCGGAUAUUGAUUUUGUUUUAACAGUUUGUACUAUUACUUUGGCAGAUUGCUUUACGAUAUAAUGACUCAUUUAAAUGUAGGUGAAAAUAAGAUCGUUGAUAAUAUAUAGAAGGGAUGAGAAUGGUAUAAUUGAAGAAGAUGAUAAAAAUGAUCAUGAUAGAGGUUAUAAGACAAGUUUCUGGGUGUGGAAUCAUUUUGUUGCCGAAAAAAAAUUGAUGAAUUUACAGCUACUUGCAAAUAUUAUAAAUAAAAUGCUAAAUAGUAGUACUAGAGGUGAAACUAGUGAUUUAAAGUACCACCUUCAAAAUAUUUGCAAGAAAUAUCCAAUGGUCAAUGAUGUUAAUCAAAUACAUGUAGUAACUAAUUUUAAAGAUCCAAUUAAGUCUUUAAAAUCUAAUCAAAAAGAGAGUGGAAGAUUUUUUUGGAAACUUUAUAAUACAUGCCGAGCUUCCAUUUUAUAUAAUUGAGCAUCUGAUUUUUUUUUGAAUUUUAUGAGCACUCUGCAGCCAUUGUUUAAUAUCCUAGGUCAUAGAACUGCAUAAAGAGAUAAAAUGGCUAUUUACCAAGAAGAUAGAAAAAAAUUGCUCAAUGUAUUUAAAAAAAUAAAUUCUCGUGUCAGUAACAAUAAUGGAGGAGCAAAAAUAGAGGAAAGAUGAAUAUCUUAUUUUCUUUUUUUGCUUAGCAUUCUGUGAAUUUUAAUUGAUUAUGAAACUAGCUUGUUUAAUUGGAUGGGCCUAGACAACAUAACUUAUUAGAAUAUUUGAACAUAUUUGUCUAUUUGGAUUGUGGUUAAGUUGAUAUGGACAUGAAUUGCAGUUAAUUGUCGGAUAUAGACUCAUCAAACUAAUUGGAUCGUGGGUAUAUGAUUUGUGGUUAAUUAUGUUUUUGUUUUUCUCUUCUAUGUGCUUUUUUCUUUUGUUAUCCUAAUUAUUUUUUUUACAGAAUUUUUUUGAUAUAGAGAAAAUUUGGAUAGGUUUUUUGGGAAGGUUGUUUUAUGUUCGAUGUUUGUGUCUUUUAUGCUUUCAAGUUUUUCACAUAUAAUAUUAUGGUAUGAUCGAGAUGAUUUAUUAACUAUAUUAUAUAUAAUAUAAUUAUUUAUGAUAUCAUUUUGCACUCUAUAUUUAUUAUAUCAUAGUUAUGAUAUUGUUUUAUUUAAUUAUUUAAAUAUGCGUUGCAAAGAUUGUAAAACAAGAUCCAAUAAUUUCGUACACUUCCUGUGUGUGAUGAUGAGCUUGCUCGAUCAUUCAUGGUGGUCCAUUUGGAUGACAGGACAAUUAUCUCAACAAGAACAAAACUGGUUACUGUUGGUGAUUGGAAGGGGUUGUUGAGGCACUUCUGCCCAUCCCCAUCCCAACGGCCCUUUUUAUUUUUAAAAAAAUAUAAUAAAAUGUUUUUUUGUAGGUAAAAGGCAGCAAAAUACCACCCAGAAAUAAGUAUGUUCUUUUAAAAACUUCAAGUAGAGAUCUCACACGGGACAACGAAUUUUUAGGCUAGGUGCUCUUUCACUUAGAAAGAGACUUGUUCAUAUGCUUUGAUGGUACUUACUAUAGUUAGGUGGAUAGUUUGUGAUAGUCGGUCUAUUGGUGUCUUGAAAAUAAUUGGAUACUCAAGCCGCUGCUUUGUCGAGGGCCGACUCUGGUUGAUUCAGCAAAGUUGGAGGGCUGCAGAGUCAUCGAUCAGAUCGUCUUGGAAGGAGCAUAUCGAAUGGGCUGUUAAUUAGAGAGGUCUUCAGGGAGUAGCUGGCCAAGAACAUUAUGGCCAUUCUGUUUUCUACGAGGGAAACGAGGGAUAAGUUGGUCUGAGCGGCCACAUGUAGGUCCAAGGUGCGGGCCACGGACUUAUAGGAGGUGAUGGAAGGGGAUGCUGUCAGGCAAAUAGAUAGUAGAUGAAUCUGGAGGAUGCGUGUUCACCCCCGUAUAGUCUUGUUUCUAUGAAAGAUAGCGUGGGGUUGUUUACCGACUAGGAGCGUGUUGACAUGGAGGAGAGUCAAGAUCAUUCCGAGUUGUGGUAUAUGCUAUGAUAUGGAGGAGAUCAUCAGUCAUGUUCUGCUUGAGUGCCCGUGAGCAGUUCAUAUCUGGAGGUGGGUUGCAUUCCCUUUGCCUCAAGCCAUCUGAUCUGCUGAUAAUCUACUACGCCAAAUGAGGGUUGCCAUGUGGAGCUCGUGAACAAUGGGGCAGGGAGUCACAUGUGCGUAUCUAGUGUAUCAUAUAUGGUUGGAUAGGAACGUCCGAGUCUUUGAAGAUAAGUGGGCGUCUUUGAGAAGUGCGAUGGAGAGAGCUCUUCUUCAGACUGUUGAGGUUGCCAGGGCUACUACAACGACCUCUAUCUAGGAUGGUCAGAAUAUUUGGGACUCUCUUUCUACUGUUACAGCGCCCAAGAUUGUCCUUGUCUCUUAGGAGCCUCUACCAUUCGGUCAUCUUAAAGUGAACUUCGAUGGUAGCGUCUCGGGCGAUGGAGAUAGAGCAAAUAUGAAUUUCGUGAUCAGGAGUCACGACUCACGGCUGAUUGCUACAGAAGGACGUAGCACUGCUAGAGUGAUAGCUAUAGGGGCCGAGCUCAGGGCAGCAUGGGAAGGCAUCACUUAUAGCCACAUAUGCCCAUUUGAGUCUCUCCAAUCCAAGAAUUCAAUUCUAUUUAAAUCCAAAUAUAUAUAUCUUGAUUAGUUUCGUAAGAGUCUAUGAUAUAUUAUUUCCUAUUUCAUAUGAACCUUGUGCCAAGUUGGUUAUGAUGCGCACGUAACUAUGUAGAAAUUCAAAAAAAAACGCUAGAUAUUAUUAUUAGAAUUUUUUGAUCCUAUAUGGUUGUGCAAGUUUUUUUGGUGUACAAUAAAAUUAAUACAUACUUGAACAGAAUCUUAUAUAUUCCUUUUUUUUCACUCCAAAAGAUUUAAAUUGUUAGAACAUAAAACCAAAACGUGCGUCAUAUUGGAUAGAAGCGGCGACGGAGCAAAACCUCACCCAAAUACCACCAGCUUCUAUCCUUCGAGCGAGGAGCGUUUCGGACAGCAAGAAAGGACAUCCACUCAACUGGCACAGCAGGAAUAAAAUGGUUCGGGUGUUGUGCUGCGACUCUCGGAUCAUUUUGGGGCUCACUUUGUUGUUAGCCGUGUGGGAGCGCAAAGAGAGUGAGGAGGGUGCCGGGGGAGAGAAACUGGAGGAGGGAGAGAAGGGGUGGAAGGACAGCUAGAGACAUUCGCACUGUCCCACUAUACCUUUCCCAGCUUUUCUGGCUGCAGUAAGUACGACUUCAUUUUGUAUUUUAAAGUAAUAUCAAAAAAAAAUUAUCGAAUAAAAUUCACUACCACAGUGCUCGUGUGAUACAAUCCCUCGUGCUGCAAUAAUGGAGGGGAGGGGAAAGAGAGAGAGAUGGGCUUGAGGCUUAGUUUGGUGUCUUAUGGAUCAAACUGAGGAGAGGGGGGUNAGUGAGAGAGAGAGAGAGAGAGGAGGGGAGGGGAGGAGAGNNNNNNNNNNNNNNNNNNNNAGAGAGAGAGAGAGAGAGAGAGAGGGAGGGAGAGAUGGGCAACUGGCAGGGCAGGGGAAUCAAGGGCCCACCACCCCAGCACCUAGCUAUAAGGAAGAGGGAGGGGUCUAGGGCGCACUGAGAGGUGCAAUCCGUCGCAUUCAAAGCUCAUAUAUUCUCCAACCUCGUGGAUUGUCGUGUGGUGAAUAUUAAUUUUAUAUCACUCAUUUAUCCAUCGCUAGCCUCACUUUACUCAUCCUCCUCCUUCCAUCCACUGUAGUUUCACUGCUAUCAACCCCUGUUCUCUCUCUUUCAUCUUAAUCUCAGUGGAAGUGCAGCAAACGAGGAGGCGGGAGUUUCCUGUCACAGUUAUUUCUUGAUCUCUCUCUCAUUUUCUUUUGGUUACGUUGGGAAGGAAAGGUUGCAGGUGGAGUUCCCCUUCCCGCUCUCCACCUCCAUUUCUUAAACAUUAGAGAUUAAUCUAAGUUUUGCCCUCCCCAAAUGUUAGCCCAUGCACACAAGAAGGAUAGAGAGAGAGAAGGCCAUUAAUAAUUGAGACUGCAACAUAGGAUUUUCCCUGUGAAACGGCUUGGCAAAAAGUAGCAGCAGGAGUGGCCAGUGUCGACCAGCAAAAAACCCGGGAGUAGGGGAUAAAAGGCAUUUCCCCAGCCCAGAGCUAAAAACGCUGCAGCUCCCAUUUAGUUACCAGACAAAGGAAGAAAUAAUUAUCAUCAUCAUCAUAAAAGCCUAAUAUAUACCAACCCCUAUUUAUUCUUUUCUUUCCCACGCUCAUUCCCUCGCUCUUUCUCUCUAUCUUCUCCCAGCAUCCCGCACACGGAGAGAGCUUUCUGACGAGAGAAAUGGAGGGCCGGAGCGGGAGCGGCGGAGGCGGCGAUAGCUCGUGCCUGAUGGGCGGCUUCGGCGAGGGCAGCGGCGGCCUCUCGCCGCUCAUGAUCAUGCCUCUUAUGGCGUCACGUUCCAUUCCGACACCAACUCCACACAUGUCCAACAACGGUCUCUUCGUACCUCCCCCGCCGAGCAACGCCGGCGGCGAGGACUAUGAUAACAACGUCAUCAAGGCCAAGAUCAUGGCGCAUCCUCAGUACCCUCGACUCCUCUCCGCCUACGUUAACUGCCACAAGGUAUACAGGAAAAAACAAUGUGAACCAAAAAAAAAAAGAAACGCAGGCUGGACUUUAUAUGCAUAUAAUAUGGACAGGUGGGAGCGCCGCCGGAGGUGGUGGCGAGGCUGGAGGAGGCGUGCGCGACGUCGCUGAUGAUGGGCCGGGCUUCGUCCUCGUCGGCGGCGGCUGGGGAUGGAGGGAAUGGCGGCGGCGGCGAGGAUCCGGCGCUGGACCAGUUCAUGGAGGCCUACUGCGAGAUGUUAACCAAGUACGAGCAGGAGCUCUCCAAGCCUUUCAAGGAAGCCAUGCUUUUCCUCUCUCGGAUUGAUUCCCAAUUUAAGUCCCUCUCCCUCUCCACUCCCCCUCCUCCUCAAGGUAUACUCCCUCUCUCUCUAUCUCCCAUAUCUCUUUCACAGCCGCCCCCCCUCUUCAUUUUUCUUUUUUCUCUCUAUUAUAUAUACUUAUGUUGUCGAGAUCUAUGUCCGCUCUUCUACGGUCGAGAGAGAGGGAUGACAUUAAUAUUAUAGUUAGACAUAUCCAUGGGGAUGUGCUUACUUUCUGUAACAUUCUUAUGUGUCGUUUGCUCAUACAAAAUCUUGCAUCAAAAGUAUGAUCUGUUGGUUGACAUGCACCUGGAGUGACUUAAUGUCUUCCAGCUUUUUUUUUUAGUUAUUAUAAUCUUUCUUCCAAAUGAAUGUGGUCCAGGAAAUCUGGGAGCUGGCUAUAUAUUUCAUGUAUGGUACUCGCAUCAUCAUGAAAUGGUGUGUCUGUUAUCUCGUGGAAUAACAGAUGGUCGCCUUUUAGCCUGAACAUUCCCUUCCCAGAAGCGCAGGUAGCCUUUGUUUGGCGUUAGUUUUUCUCGUUGCUGGGGUCAUUUUCACUUGGUGGCCAGGUAUUCUCGAGGUUGAUAGCAAUAAAAGUGACUAUUUUGCUGCGAAGGGUUUAUUUUUUCUUGGGGGAUGUAUAGUUCUCUUAACAUCAUUUCAAGUUUUUUUUUUUUUGUCCACCCUCCCUGCAAUCUGCAGGAGAGUGAUUCACAGAGAAGCCUUCUGAAGGAAAUAAAAAUUUUUCUCUUUUUUUGCCCCCUUUCCUCUCAUCUUAGUUUCUACAGUAUGGUUGUUAAAGUCGAGUGAUUUUAUCAUCUAGGUUGACCUCGCUAGUGAAGGUGGUAUUCUGGCGAAAGUGAAUUCAGUUGGCAUUUAUGGUUGUCCAUGGGAGUACGUUCGCAUGGGGCUCUUGAGAAAACUUUUGCAUAAACUCUGAAUAUCUUAUGCCUUAUUAUCGGGCACAAAUAAAGAUAAUAUUUCAUUUACAUAAUAACUUGAACCAUCCUUACUUCCCCUCCUCGAAUGUCACAUUUUUUGUAUCAUUNNNNNNNNNNNNNNNNNNNNNNNNNNNNNNNNNNNNNNNNNNNNNNNNNNNNNNNNNNNNNNNNNNNNNNNNNNNNNNNNNNNNNNNNNNNNNNNNNNNNNNNNNNNNNNNNNNNNNNNNNNNNNNNNNNNNNNNNNNNNNNNNNNNNNNNNNNNNNNNNNNNNNNNNNNNNNNNNNNNNNNNNNNNNNNNNNNNNNNNNNNNNNNNNNNNNNNNNNNNNNNNNNNNNNNNNNNNNNNNNNNNNNNNNNNNNNNNNNNNNNNNNNNNNNNNNNNNNNNNNNNNNNNNNNNNNNNNNNNNNNNNNNNNNNNNNNNNNNNNNNNNNNNNNNNNNNNNNNNNNNNNNNNNNNNNNNNNNNNNNNNNNNNNNNNNNNNNNNNNNNNNNNNNNNNNNNNNNNNNNNNNNNNNNNNNNNNNNNNNNNNNNNNNNNNNNNNNNNNNNNNNNNNNNNNNNNNNNNNNNNNNNNNNNNNNNNNNNNNNNNNNNNNNNNNNNNNNNNNNNNNNNNNNNNNNNNNNNNNNNNNNNNNNNNNNNNNNNNNNNNNNNNNNNNNNNNNNNNNNNNNNNNNNNNNNNNNNNNNNNNNNNNNNNNNNNNNNNNNNNNNNNNNNNNNNNNNNNNNNNNNNNNNNNNNNNNNNNNNNNNNNNNNNNNNNNNNNNNNNNNNNNNNNNNNNNNNNNNNNNNNNNNNNNNNNNNNNNNNNNNNNNNNNNNNNNNNNNNNNNNNNNNNNNNNNNNNNNNNNNNNNNNNNNNNNNNNNNNNNNNNNNNNNNNNNNNNNNNNNNNNNNNNNNNNNNNNNNNNNNNNNNNNNNNNNNNNNNNNNNNNNNNNNNNNNNNNNNNNNNNNNNNNNNNNNNNNNNNNNNNNNNNNNNNNNNNNNNNNNNNNNNNNNNNNNNNNNNNNNNNNNNNNNNNNNNNNNNNNNNNNNNNNNNNNNNNNNNNNNNNNNNNNNNNNNNNNNNNNNNNNNNNNNNNNNNNNNNNNNNNNNNNNNNNNNNNNNNNNNNNNNNNNNNNNNNNNNNNNNNNNNNNNNNNNNNNNNNNNNNNNNNNNNNNNNNNNNNNNNNNNNNNNNNNNNNNNNNNNNNNNNNNNNNNNNNNNNNNNNNNNNNNNNNNNNNNNNNNNNNNNNNNNNNNNNNNNNNNNNNNNNNNNNNNNNNNNNNNNNNNNNNNNNNNNNNNNNNNNNNNNNNNNNNNNNNNNNNNNNNNNNNNNNNNNNNNNNNNNNNNNNNNNNNNNNNNNNNNNNNNNNNNNNNNNNNNNNNNNNNNNNNNNNNNNNNNNNAUCCAACACAUUCUAGGUGCUAGAUAUGAGGAUCUAGGUAACACAGCUUGAAUUAAGCAUUCUAGAUAAAUGCAUAAUUACUUAGAAAUGAGCUGCUGAAUAUCAAAUACUUGUUAUAAGUUAUUGGUCACUAGUUAUCUUAUUGAAUUCUUGAAAUAAACUAUUUAGAUCUGUCAUUUCCUGUUUAUUAUCGUUAUUCUAUUUUAAGUAUACUUCUGUCCUCUUGUGUCAUUAUCAUUGGUGACCAGUAUAUAUCGGAAAUGUAAUUUAUAUUGUGACUGCAGCAUUCUUUUUAUUUACCAGUGUAUGUAAGUUGAGCCACACUGUGACAUAUAACUGCACAACAUUAAAAUUGGGUAAAUUUGAACAAGGGUAUGAAAUAUAGCAAGAGUGUUUUUAAAAUAAUUGAAAUUCUUGGUAAUUAAAAAUGUAAAAAAAUCCUUUAUUAAAGUGUCCACUGGAAUCAAGAUUAAGCAUUUCAUAAAAAAUAAUGCACCUCUUACAUGUGAAUUUUCAUUUGCAUUUACCCAAUAUUAAUGUUGCUUAUUUUUUUAAAGAAAACCAAUUAUGGUCUAAAAUUGAGUAAAAAUGCUGAUCCUGUUCUUUUUUAUUUUUGCAGUAAUUCUUGUUCUAAUUCGCUUAUCUUUCCUCCUGGUCUGGUAUUAUUUGCUGUGCAACUUGUGUUAUGUGUCUAACAACAUCUUUGUGAUGUUCCCUCUAAGGCCACCAUCUUUUCUAGCUGAUCUUGACUAAUGGAAAUACCAAGAUGAGAUUAGCAAAAUAACUAGAAAGUAGAGGAGAAGAAAAGAACACAAGUAACAAGCAAAAUUAAAUAACAAAGGAAAUUCAACCUCUUUCUUUAACUUCAGAAAAUAAAUUCCAAUUACCAGCCAUCUAAACAUUCUCCAUAAAGUAAUUUUAUAGAAAAGAAUAAGAACAUAAAACUAUCUUUAUGCUGAUUGUGUUUGAAUUGUUUUUCGAUAAUCUAAACCUUCAUUUAACAAACUAGAACAACCUCUCAAAGGGAUUGGUCAUAUGUUGAUUAUUGAGAUGUUGGCCUUUUGUGGAUAAUGUGAUCUGGUGGCUCAAAAAAUUGGAUGAUAGUAAGUUAUGGGAAUAAGUGGUGCUUAGCAUGACCAGUAUGCUGAUUGGUAAGGCUUUUAGAUAUUGGAUAUAACAUUGAAGGUUUGGAUAUGAUACUUAGUGACAGGGAUGAGGUAAGUUGGGUUGGUAAGGAUGAGAUUGAGUCCGUUGGAAAGAGAGUUUUAGUAGGGUUGCACAUGGGUUGGGGUGGUCCUAGGCAAGCUUGACCUUGACUUGACCUGUUUAUGUUUUUGGGUCUUGAUUUUUGUUGCAAAUCCCACCCAUUGGCUGAUAGAGUCCUGGUGAAGUUGGGUCCAUAAAGGAAACUUUAGACCCAGCCAGUCACUUGGGUUGGAUUAGCUAGCGUCAAGCAUGACUUGGACUCAACACAAACAAUUCAGGUUCAGGUUCGGAUUGGAUCUAUAGUUGGAAUCAACCAUUUAGCCAUCCUUUUAUGACUAAGAUAUAAUAAUUGAUAAUAAAAAUAAAAUCACUAAAAUUUUCAAUUAAACUAAGGUUGCUUUUGGUUGUCGAAUAAGUUUGGAGGCAUGGUAUGCUAUACCGGCCUGAACCGGAUGGUACAGGAUGUAUCAUAUCGUACCGAUUUGGUAUCGGUAUUCGGUACGGAUGGCGUACCAACAUUCAGUACGUCAAAAAAUUUUUAUACCGUACCGUAUCGAUGUUGUACUAGUGUGGCACCGGUAUGGGGUUUGGUAGCGAGAUGAUGAACCUUGCUUGGAGGGAAUAAGAAAAAAUCCGAAGGGAAAGAAGAUGUAACUAGGGUAUUAUAGAACGGUUGGGCUUAUUCAAUAGGAUUAGCGUCUUUGGUAUUUGGUUAGUGGAAUAAGUGUGAGGGGAAAAGGGGGAGAAUAGAUUACAUUCAAUACACUUUGGCUUUUAUGAUGAUUUGUCUUUUAUCACAAAGAUAAAAUUUCCCUCUCAAUUUUGUGCGCUUAAGAGUGGAUAGAAAAGUGGCCUGAGGGUUGGGUUAUGAUGGAGGAGGUAAUAAGCCUAUCCGCCCCUCCUCAUGGAUAAGCUUAUCACAUGAUAUAGUGGGGAAAUUGGGUUAUGUCGCUGGCCAAAAGUGCAUUUGGUAGGAUAAGAGAGGAGUUAUAUCCCCAAUUUUCAAAAUGUAUCUAAUUUUUGACUACAACUUGACUGCAUGUCAUCCAAGAAUCAAUCAAGCUUGGUCUAGUGGGCCUGAACUGAAUUGGACAAGUCAACUUGACCCAUUUGCAGCCUUUGUUUUCAGCUAGUUGAAAGUUUAUCCCAUUCAUGGUGAAAAAAGGGGCCAUGGUGGAAUUCUCAUCUAAGCGUUUGCUUUCCUUUUGGAUUUUGUCGACCAUCAAUCACUUUGUUGGAAGAGACUCGACUUUGGGAUUGCAUUCUCUCACUCGUCUGCUGUGACGGGCAUGAAAAUGUGAGAUAUUGAACAUGGAUGUAGGUGAAGCUGUCAUAUCGCUUGGUAGCUCUUAUUUAAGAGGCAUUUUCUCGAUCCGCUUCAACUUGUUUGCCACUUUCUUGUACAACUUGAGAAUUGUGAUUCUCAUCAUGCUUUGUGCCAACUUGCAUUUGGAAAUUGUGAACCGUAGCCAACAUAUAACCCAUAUUUGAUCGGUCCAUGGAAGAUCCAUCCUAAAAGAUAUAGAAUAACCAUCGCAUGUUAGUUUGAUCCCAUGGUGUGAUUAGCAAAAUAUCUAUAAAGUAGAGAAGAGAAAAGAACAUAGGUAACAAGCAAAAAUUAUAUUACUACUAAGUUCCACCCUUCUGCUUCAAGUAAAUGAACUCCAAUUACCAGCCAUGUCAACAUUCUCUAUGGAGUUGCUUUUAUAGAAAAGGAAGAGAUAAGAAAUAAGACUAUCUUUAUCUUAACAUGGUUUUCCAAUAAGCCAAGCCUUUAUUUAACAAACUGAAACAACAUUUCUGAGGGAUUGGUUGCCUGCUGAUCCUUGAGGUUCUGGACUUUUGUGGAUAACAAGGAAAGUUGGUAGCUUAAAGAAUUGGAUUAUAGUUAGUUAUAGUGAUAAGUGGUGCUCAGCAUGACUGGUAUGCUGAUGGAUAGGCUUUUAGACAUUGGAUGUGACAUGGGGAGGUUUCGCUCGGGCUGAUACUUGAUAAGUGUCGAGAAAUUUGUCUUACUUUGAUAUUCAUGACAAAGUCAUGAAUUUGUUGAAAUUAUUUGAGUAUGUUUUGAGAUCUCAUUUGAGCUGAGAGAGUCGCAAGUAGCACUCCUAGUUGUCAACCAAGUCUAGCAAGCUCAUUAUCUUGGUCUGCGAAUGUUUUGGGCUUGUACCACUAACAUGAGAUUCUUGGAUGGACUUGGUUUUUUAAUUGGAGAAAGACGCUUGGUUUUUCUUUGGUCAUUGAAGAAGAGUGAGGCCCGGUUAUUAUUUACAGGAAGGUGAUAAAGUAUAUUGGUACAGUAACUCUGGUGAUGUAACUAUGGUUCUAGGGAUGGCGGAUGGAUGAUGCAAGUCUCACAUGCAAGCGAGACUUGAUAAUAUAUUUCAAUAUCGACUUUGUUCCGCUAUUGCAAAUCAGUUCAGCUUAGGGGUUUUAUUAUUAGAGUGUGAUACGAAGAUUUCAGUGGCACAUUCUUUUCAAUGAAUAUCAUUUUCAUUAUUUAAAGACCCUAGUGUAAGGUUUGUGGUGACAAAAGAAGAAGGCAUGGAUUUUUGAGACAGAGCUAGAGGACAGUUUUAGCGAUGAAAAGGGCUUCUACAACAUAAAGCUAGAUGUUUUUUCUCAAAAGGCUUUAGCCAGUGAGCUCUUGUAUUGGAUCUACACUAUUUACCAAAAGGAAGGGUUUCUCUCAGGGGAGUGAAUAUUACUUCGAGGGAUGAAUAUUGCAAGGGGAUUUAUUGUAUAUAUUUUUUCUGGAGUGGAUUCUCUCUCAGCAUCUUCAGAUUGUAGAUGUAGCUCAUUUUGAGGGAACCAUGUAAAUCUUGGCGUUUUCUGUGUUUUACUCUUUGCUUGCUUAUUUUCUGUUGUAUUUUGCUCUGUCCUAUCAGUUUGGGGACUAUUGCUGCAACAGGAAGUGGGGUUGGCAAGGAUGAUGUUGAGUCUGUCGGAAUAAGAAAAUUUUGGACUAGGUGGAAGUGGAUCCCAUUCAAGGUGAAAAUGGCUGCGAUGGAAUGGUUGGUUGGUGAUUGGGAAGGAUUACACUCUUUUUGUCAGUGCUAUUGGAACUCUAAAAUUGUUGCCAACAGUCUGGCUGGGGCAACUUUAUGCAAAAGGCUAUCAUACAACAAAACUUCUGAUUAAUUGGUGCCUAGGGAGACCUCAGUUAUCUAAUGCAGUUUAAGCUUGUGCGCUCAAGAUUUAUUUUCACGGUUCCCUAAGAUUUUUAAAGACUCUCAAAACGAAAAUAUAUUAAUAACAUCUACAAUGUGGUGCCGUGUUUGUCUUGAAGGAACAAACAUGGAGUAAACCUUACCUCACUAAUUUUUCUUUGAUCGAUUACCAAGCUUCUCAAACUCAGCGACAAUGGAAGUUGAUCUCCAUAUAAAGUAUGAAAUUUGGUUGUUUGUAAUGUGCUGUCUAUUUUGACUUGUUACGUAAAUAAUGAUUUUUUAAUGAAAGUUAGUUAAAUUUUUGAAAAUAUAAUUUUAGGUGUGAUUGUGUUGAUCAUGUGGAAGUUUAACAUGCAAUUAAAAAGAACUUAAAGUCUUCACCUUAUUCUUAUGAGUUACUCAUCGUCCUAACUAGAUUGAAUCCUUCAUUAUAAUGAACAUUGUGAAUGCUCAGACAUCUAAGAACAUCAAGUUUCAAGCAGCAACAUCUUUAGGUCAUAUGAUAUUCAAGAGCUUGGAUGUAACCAUAUUUCUUGAAAUGAUGAUUCAACAAAUUUAUAUGCAUAAUGAAAAUGUCCACAUGGGAGGAGAAAAUUGCAAGAAAUUUUAGUCCUAGAUAUGACCAAAAAUUGAAUUACAAUAUUAUGGAAAAUCAUUAUUUAUGAUUAGAGGCAUGAGUAGUUCCAAUGAGUGAAAGAAAUGAUAGUCUUGAUGAGUCCUGGUGGAAGGUUAAGGAGAUCAAUGAAAGCCGUCAUAGAUACUGGUAGUUACAUGGAAGGUCCUCCUUGGUGAUUGUCGACUAGUAGGAUCUCAAGGAUUUUUAGCAAGGUUUGAUGUUGUGUCCAACAUAUUCAGUUUUAGAUUGGCUUGGGCUGACCUGGUGUCUGACAUUAGCAGUGUUGGUAGUAUCGACCAAUUUCAGCUGUUAUUGUGGUUGCUUUUGUUUAGUUUCAUUUGAAAUGGCUCAAUGGUUCAAAGAUUGGUCAGAGUUUUGUCUGGUUUCUUCUUUUUUGGGGUCUUUUAAGCUGUUUACUAGGGGAAGAGUGAAAGUGAAGCGUGGGAGAAGUGGACUUUUCCCAUUGAAGCUCUUUGGCUAAAUAGUAGUGCAAUCUAAACCUGAAAAUAUGGGAUUCUUUUCUCUCUCUAAGAAAAUGAAAAUGUGAAAUUUAUGCUCAUUGUUUGGGUGUUGGGUUCUGAAACCAGAUUAUGUGUAAUUACAUUAUUAUGCAUGAUAGUGAAAAUUAAGUCAUUUUACUUAUUAUUAAUUUUUUAUUUUCUAACAUGGGAAAUAAAAAAAUAUAUAGUUCAGAAUUAAUCAAGGAGUUAGAGAGGAAAACUAGAAUUAGAAAAUAUUCAUUAUGAUAUGCAAGUAACACUUAAAAAUGAGAUAUGAAGCAUGUUUGGGGUUGCAACAGACUAAAACCAGCAAGGUUAUACACAAAUUGUCCAAAUUAAUUUACAUGUACUUCAAAAGAUUGCAUAAUUUUUUUUUUCUAGUUUGCUGUAGUGUUGAACCAUAUUAAAUGCCUUUCAGAAAAAGAUAUCUUCUUUUAAAAACAGUACAAUCCCCUUACCAAGAAAAGGAGAAGAGACUAAAAUCUCAAGAUCAAUUUCAUAACAGCAGUCGACACUCUGGCACGUUGUUUAUGAGGAUCUAAUGAAUAUAUGUUCUGAUACCAAUUUUCUAGAGAGCAAUAGAAGCACUUGAUGUCUAUUUAUGUCAAAAUGUAUGCCUGGGGAGACCAAUAAAUAGUCAGCAGUGGCAGCAGCAACAACAAAAGCAUAUUUGUGUGAAACUUAGCAUAUAAGACUCAAUCAUGACUACAUCAAAUGUGCUGCCUGUUCUUUUCCACCUCUUUCUAAUUCUCAAUAUAACACUUACGCAUUACAUUGUCACUUCUUUGUAUAGUCCAUACAUGCGUCUUCAAAAUCCAUUACAUAAAGACAUUACUUUCUUAGUCACUUAUGCAUUGCUACUAGAUGUUAAUUUGAUUUUGCUUUCUUCAAAAUUCAUGGAACUGCCAUCAUACUGAAGUAGAACUUGGGGCUUCUCUGCUGAGGAGAGGGGCUCCGACCAUUUUUGAUUAGUCCAUGUGAGGAAGCAGACUAAGAAUACCCUGGACUGAUGUUUGUCCAUGGCUAGUUGUAUUGACACUAAUUUAUCAUUAGAUUUCAGUUAAGAGCCAACAACUAGCACCUGGGAUAUGACCCAUGGAUCUGGCUUGUGUUUUAUAAUUUGCUGUUGAUUAUUUUCUAAGGCUAAACACUAGAAGUUACAGAAUUUUGGUGACCGUUUUCUAUAAUCCAAGACUAAUGCUGUAACAACACAUUUUGAUUAGAUGGUUGAUGUGUAGGCAGACACUUGUGGUAUUAUGUGUUUUUCAGUGUUUUUGUUGUGAAAUUGUGAAGGAUCAUUCCAGUAUAUAUUUCAAUAUGCGAACUAUAUUUCUCAUCAUAUUUUGAUAUUCUUAUAUUUAUACAUAAUAUGAAUUGAUUUCUGGCACUUGUUUAUGUUUGGCUUGUAGCGUUAGAUGUUAUGUCCAAUUGAGUAUACAUGAACAUUUACUCAAAAAGGUCUGCUUGCAGGAAGAUUCAGAUUCAAAAUGAAGGUGGUGAAAGUAGAUUUUUUUUUUAUAUAUAUAGACUUAUAUUGGCAUCACUCCUGUUUGUAUUGUCAGUGCCCACGAUGUCAUUAGAUGUGCACUGUCCCUUCUUAAAAUCCUGUAAGCAUAUCUAAAUGCUUCCUGCAUUUUCAUCAAAAUAGCAGAUUCUUUGGCAAGUAAUGCCUUUAUUGCCUAAUAGUUUUCAAAAAAAAAAAUCUUAAUUCUUCUUUAUUAAAACUUUGUUUUACCGGCUAUUAACAUUAGCAAGUUUCCCCACAUUUUCUGUUCUGGUUUUUGUGCAUUUAUUUUCUUCAUUAAUCUUAUCCGUGAGUAAUAAAGUAGUUGACUUUCAAACAUCUGAAUUUUUGAUCGUCUUUAUUCCUCUCAUUUUGCACAUUUCCUGUAUGGUUUGUUGAUUGUAUUUAAACCCAUUUUGCUGAAACUUAAGACUUUGCAACGUCUGCUGUGAGCAUUUUUAGGUUGCUCUUGCUAUAUACUGCCCAGAUGUUCCACUAAAAAUGCAGGUACGCAUGCCUGUGACGGGUUACAACAACCCUAGCUAUAAACAGGUUAUAUAAAAACAUAGUCAUGUCUCAAAAACAUAAAUAUUAAAAAAACUUAAUUUUAUUUAAUAUAAAGCAAUGAAGGUGAUAUCAGGAGGAACCUGUUGGUCCCUAGUUUUGUUAGUUUUAUUUUUUUUCCUUGGCAACAAGGUUCUCUAGCUUUUCAAAUGAUACAUUUUUCAUUUACAGUUUCGAUCUGAUUUUUGGACUAUUUUUUCUCAAGUGUAUGGGGAGCAGUUGGAAAGGAACGGAUCAUCUGAGGAAGAGUUUGGUGCAUCUGAGAAUUAUGUCGAUCCUCAAGCUGAGGACAGGGAGCUUAAAGGUCAACUCCUUCGGAAAUACAGCGGCUAUCUCAGCAGCCUUAAGCAGGAAUUUUUGAAGAAGAGGAAGAAAGGGAAGCUGCCCAAAGAGGCCCGGCAACAGCUUCUUGACUGGUGGAAUAGGCACUACAAGUGGCCAUAUCCUUCGGUAUGUUAUCGAUACAAACACGAGUGAUCCUUGUCAACUUUGCACAUCAUAUCUUGUGCGAGUGAUCUAGUUUUAAUCAAAUCAUUUGAUAUACGCAUGAUUUAUGUUCCAUGAUAACAAUGGCUAGGUCUUCUGACUAUAGGAUGGUGCUUUGGUUUUUGCUAUGGUUUCUCAGGAGGCGCAGAAGCUGGCACUGGCGCAAUCAACGGGACUCGACCAGAAGCAAAUAAACAACUGGUUCAUCAACCAAAGGAAGCGCCACUGGAAGCCGUCGGAGGAGAUGCAGUUCGUGGUGAUGGACACGGCGCAUCCUCACUACUUCAUGGACAAUAGUCUCGGCAAUCCCUUUCCCCUGGACUGUGCCCCGGCUCUUCUUUGACUUCACUCUAUGGAUGUUCUAGCUCUCAUCUCUGAACUCGUGUGUAUGAUCUACGUAAGUUAGAGUUUGUACGUGUUUGCAGCUUGGACGCUUAUCAUAAUGCCUGCUGACCUAUGUAUGAGUUUGGAAGCCGUUAUUGUCCGUCUGUAGUUCUGCUGGAGCAGACGUUCUUUUGGACGCUGUGCUUUGGUUUGUUCCGCCUAAGUGUCUUCUGGGGUCUCUUCUGAUUGCUGUAGCAAUAAUGGAUUGUAGUGUCUAUUUGGGUACUGUCUCCACUGUGAUUCAUCACGUUGAUGUCUAACGUGUAUUGGGAGUUCUAUUCUGAUGCAUGGUGGUGUCUUAUAUAUCAAGAACGGAUUCUGUCGUGAUUCAUCGUGCCGUCUGACGAGCAUGGGCCCCGUUAGCUUUCAUGCAUGCAGUUUUUUGUUUGCCUUGUGUUGCACCGUGGGGUACUUAUGAUAUCUUAAUCUUCUUUUACAGCAAUAAUGCAGUUCCAUGCAUAGGGUAUUGGCUGUUGCAUUUUGAUCUUGAUUCUUUGUGCAUGGCAUGGAGAAAAUAGUAGGAAUCAAACGCAAGUUGAUCAUAAGAGAUAAGAACAUCAUGGAUUUGAAACUUAAAUUGAGAAAGAUCUUAGGAUGAGUCUAUGAUGGAGUGGUACUGUGAAAUAAACCUGAUAUACUUUUUAAGUCUCGAAAUUGAUUUCACUCCGUAUGCGAAGCGACUCCUUGCGUUCGGAAGCUAACCCGAGACGGUCACAAGGUGGUGGAAAUGGACUGUAUGUUGAAGUUGAUUGCAGAUUGCUUCAGAAGUACAUCCAUGAAGUAAGUUAGACUUCGAAUUUCUUUGAGGUUCUUUGACUAAUCUCGACUCCUUCGGGUGGUAGGAUAGAGGGUGAAAGUGUCUCCAUCUUGUUUGCCAUGCAUAUUCUUCGUAUUGCUCCGGACUAGUUGGAAUCCUGUAAAGCUGAUAUGGUUGAUGGAAGAUUGAGAUCUCUUGGUGAAUCAAAUGUUUGUUGCAUUCUGGUGGCAGAUUGCCACGGGAGUUUGAGGUCUGUAACAGAUUUAAUAGUGGAGAAUCAAAUGAUGUGAAGCUAAAAUAGUUGCCAAUGACAAGUGGAAAUUCCAGACCAUGUCGUGUACAUUUAGUCCUCAAAUGGUGAAGAUUUUUUUUUUGGUAACGUUGAUUCUCCUAACCCCAAUCUUCUACUAUAAUAAAAAGAACAGCUAAUGCUAGUUCAGCCUUUCAGUACUAUGUUUAAUUUUGAAUCAAACAGGUAGUAUUAAACCAGUCAUUGUUAAUCUUUAUAAAUACCAAAUAAUCAUGAGUAAUGAUGAGAAUAUUUUAUAGUUUCUGUUUCGAUUUUUGUUAGAUUUAUAUCUCUCCAUUCUCUUGUGAACUAGUGGGUUAAAUACUGGUACUUACAGAUCAUGUCAAACUCCAUGUUACGCAUUGAAAAAGGUAAUAAUAGAUUUAUAUCUGUACACGAGCAUGAUUUUUUUAGCCAAUGAGAUUUAUAUAUUACCGGUUAUAUGGAAAGUUUAGUGACAUUGACUAAAUAAGACAAAUGGAAAUUUUAAUUUACAUGAGUAAACUUGCCAAUAACUUUCAGCACUGUUGGCUGGUACUUUGUUUCUAAGACCUUGCAUUUCAGAAAGUUCAAAUUCUGAAUAACUACUUAAAAAACAUAUAUAUAUUUAUAUAAAUAUAAUAGCUUAGCUUUCAUGAUCAGGUUAAGUUUUUGAGAUGUAAGAAGAAACAAUUAAUAUACAGAAGUGAUAUAUGGCCGAAGGGAUUAAUGUAUACGAUUGGAUUUAAAUGCUAAUAGCUUAAGAUAUUGUAUCAAGUUGAAUUCUGUGUUCAUGUAUAUAUAAUAUAAUUUUGAGUUGUUGAGUAUAUCUUGAGUUUAUGGCCAAAAGGGGAUUUUUUUUUUCCGGAGCGGAGCUAGCGAAGCGAGCAAGGGACUAGAUAAUGCCAGCAUCGAAUACUGAAACUAAAUUUACAAAAUGUUUCAUUUGUGAAUUAAUUUUUCACAUAGGCCAGUAUUCAUGUUGGAAUCAAUUGUGUUGCAUAGGCGGUGUUGCUUCUUGUCAGAUAGAUUCCCUAUCCACUAAGACUAGAUAGAUAGCUCGUUCUUCAGUCAUGCUCGGUUUAGCCAUCAUUUACGGAAGAAGUAGAAGUAGUAGUAGAAGAAAAAAUAGGUCGAGAGAUUGGAUACAUGAGAGAGAAAGUUUUCGAUAUUCCUUCAUUGUGGCAGAAUAAUAUCAGAGAGUGAGGGCUAGAAGGUUGUCAAAAAGUAAGAAGGCUGGCUAAACUAAUGAGCUUAAAGCCUUAAACCGUGCAAAGGGACUGUGCAAUCACUCGUUUAGUCUGAAUAGGGUGGUGAGAAUGUUAUUAUUUGCAGCAACUGAAAUUAGCUUUUCAUUCCAGUUCUCUUUCUUCUUGUCUUCUUUGAUUUAAUUCUUAAUCAGUCCCUUUAAUCAAAAUUCUAGUUUGGUGCGGCUUAGCAGUUUAUGAGACAAUGGUUAGUUGCAGUCUCAGUUGGCCUGCUGGUUGUAGAGAAAUUGAAUUCAGUAUUUCUAAGAGAAGUAUUAAAUGAACUAAUUUAUAGGACAGCUUCAAUAGAAUAGUUGAUGUGGCAUGCAGUUUAUAUCAUCAUGAUAUCAGCUAGAUUCAAUAUAUAUAUAUAUAUAUAUAUAGUAAUGUAAAUUGGAGGCCCAGCUGAUACCAUGCUGCUGCAAAAAUAAUGCUACAUGUUUCCCUAAAGUUGGUUAUGCCAAACAAGACCUCUGUUGUUCGAGUUUAAGACAAAAUAAAUGAGUUUACAGCUAAAAAAAAAGACAAAAUAAACUGAGAAAAGCACUUGACCAGUCCAAAUGCUUUAGAAUCAGAUGAAUUUACUAUUCUUCAUUGCUUUAUUUGUAGCAAAAUAUAAAUUACAUACAUACAUACAUACAUACAUACAUUAGUUGAGGCGCAGAGAAUGAGCUUGUCGUAAUAAAAAGGCAAAAUAAAACUUAUUCGGUUAAUAAAAUAACCAAGCUCAAAUUUUGUUAGUUUUAAGUCUCAGAGUUAUUAGUAAACAUGCCAUGCUUAAACAUUUAUGGUUAAUUUUGGCUCAAACUCAAACUCAAACAACCCCACAAGGUAGUGAAUUAGUGAUAAUUUGAUGCAUGUUUCUUAGCCUUUUCUUAGAUAUAUAUUAUUAACCAAAAAAACAAUAUUUAUAAAGACAUUAGAAUACAAGUAUUUUACUUUUGCUAUAUUUUUGUGAAUUACGUCUUCUUUCUCCACAGCCAGCUGAAGCAAGUGCGUUGAUACGAGAUAAUAAUAAUUCCUAUCACCCACGCACACGUGUGCAACUACGGCCACCCAGGUGGGGCGUUGAUUUCCGACAGGGCCUUUCCGUACGUCGCUCGUGUCACGAGCACGUGUCAUCCCCCAUUCGGGGCCCAGCGUACGCGCCCUGCCGGCGUUGCAAGAAAUUCGCCAGUACAGUCCCUCGCUCGCUACCCUUCCCCUCCUCCUCCCUCUCGUCCACGAACGACGCCCCGCCGGCCCAAUUCCUCUUCUCUCUCUCCAUCUUUGUCUUCUAAUUACCAUUUCAUUCAUUUCCCUCUAAUUAUUCCCAAUAACGAAAACAAGAAGCUUAAAGUAGUGGAAAAAAGUGGUAGUGAGAACUCCUUUGUUCUUAUCACCCUCAAAGCCUUUCCCAAUCGUCUCCAAUCCUUCUUCUAUGUGUAACCCCUCAAUUUGCUCAUAGAAUUCUUGCUUUCUUUCCCAAUUUGAUUUAUUCUUGUGUGGGGAGAUGCCGUAGUAUUUGGAUACAGGGGAGCUGUUGUUAUAUUGGGAGGGUUUUAGGGUUUUUUGGGUGCUUAGGGUUGCCUUUCUUGUAAAUAUGAUCAAGCAGAUUCUGGGCAAGCUGCCACGCAAACCCUCCUCCAAAUCCUCCGCCACCGCCGAUUCCACCGACGGCGUCGUCUCCUCAGCGGGCCCCACCGCCGGCCGAACCCCGAAUUUGAGCUCCGCUGCUGGCAGCAAAGCCGCCCAGGGCAAGAAGUCCUCCUCGGGACCCGCCGGCAGCAACGGAUAUGGCAAUGCCGCGGCCUCCGCGAUGCCGACGCCGGUGUACGAGCUGCUUCCCAGCUUCCGCGAGGUGCCCAGCUCCGAGAAGCCCAAUUUGUUCUUGAAGAAGAUGGCCUUGUGCUGCGUGGCGUUCGACUUUACCGACCCCGGCAAGAACCUCCGGGAGAAGGAGGUGAAGCGGCAGACGCUGCUGGAGCUCGUCGACUAUGUGGCGACGGCCACCGGCAGGUUCAGCGAGGCCGCGAUGCAGGAGUCGACGCGGAUGGUGGCCGCGAACCUCUUCCGCACCUUACCCUCUUCCGGCUCCGACUCCACCUUCCGGGGGCUUCCCGAGGGGUUCGACGCCGAGGAGGAGGAGCCCGCCAUGGAGCCCGCCUGGCCCCACCUCCAGGUCGUCUACGAGUUCCUGCUGCGGUUCAUCGCGUCGCCGGAGACCGACGCCAAGCUGGCCAAGCGCUACAUCGACCACUCCUUCGUCCUGCGGCUGCUCGACCUCUUCGACUCCGAGGACCAGCGGGAGCGGGAGUACCUGAAGACGAUUCUCCACCGGGUGUACGGGAAGUUCAUGGUUCACCGCCCCUUCAUCCGGAAGGCCAUCAACAACAUCUUCUACCGGUUCAUCUUCGAGACGGAGAAGCACAAUGGGAUCGCCGAGCUGCUGGAGAUACUGGGAAGCAUAAUUAAUGGGUUUGCGCUGCCGCUCAAGGAGGAGCAUAAGCUGUUCCUUGUUCGUGCGCUCAUCCCGCUUCACAAGCCCAAGUGUGUGGCCCUGUACCACCAGCAGCUCUCCUACUGCAUCACCCAGUUUGUGGAGAAGGACUUUAAGCUGGCGGAUACUGUCAUCAGGGGGCUCUUGAAGUACUGGCCAAUCACCAAUAGCUCCAAGGAAGUCAUGUUUCUUGGGGAGCUGGAGGAGGUUCUGGAAGCCACGCAGGUCGCAGAGUUCCAGAGGUGUAUGGUGCCCUUGUUCCGGCAGAUUGGCCGCUGCCUGAAUAGCUUGCACUUUCAGGUAGCCUGUUACAUUAUCGGUGCUAAUUUUAGGUUUCAUCGAGAUAUUUGUUUCGUUCCAUGUUCUAUCCUGCUUUACUAGUGGUCAUUUGUUACAUUCAUGUCUGACAUUUACUUGCUUCCGCUUAAUGGCUAGUGCCGGUCAAUAGCAGUUUUCUUUCAUGUAUUUAUGGCCUAAGUCUUUGGCUUUGGUGCUAACCUUUUGUGGAGAUAUGAAGUGUUGUUUGGCCUUUCAGAGGUUGGUCACUUUUCCACUAAUGAAUGUCUCAAAUGAAAGAUCUCUUUUGAGCUAUUUGUGACAAUUGAUCUUUUUAUUAAUGCAGUUUUGUCCAGGAUACAAAUUUGUACAAGGGCUGAAUGGGGUUUUCUAGUUUAUGCUUUACUCAAAUAAACAUGUAGAGGCAAUUUUAGGAUGAUGAUUAGAGGCCAGCUCUUGUUGAGUUGUGAGGAGAUAAUACGUAAGGCCAGCUCUCUUAGACAAUCAAAUAUAAAUCUGCAAGCAUAUUAGAUCAAAUAAUGCAUGCAUAAAUCUGUAGACAGCAAUAUGAUCUACUCAAAGCCCUAAAAAAGCAGGGAUAAAUGGCAUAUUUAUGAAAUAAAAAAAGAAGAAUAAGAAGAAGAAGAAGAUGGAGAGACAGAAGAGAGGAAUAAGUAGCAGAAAAUAGAGAGAGGGAGGAAACAAGAGGGGGCCAAACCUGGCCUCAAAUCUUCAAUUCCAUUCACAAUGAAAAGAAAAAACAGAUUACAAGUCUUUUCCUUGGCCCACUUUAUAAAGACUCUCAAACUUGACCCACAAGUUAACGAAUUUUAGUCCUUUACAAAAGUAGAAGCAAAACUUUCAAAAAGUUUCCAAAACGAACUAGGUAUCGACUCCUAAAAGCCCACAGGUUUUGUAGUGCACUAUUCAUGCCACAGUGAUGUGAAUGGUACUGAUCCCUUAACUUGUCUAAGUCUCCUAAAUCCUGGACUUGAUGAUCUAAUGAUACAGUCUUGAUUGGACAUUAUUGGAUUUCAAAGGAUCCUAAUGAUUUCAAUUUAAAUCCUAUAAUUAAAGAACUUUAAAUCAGCAAACUUCAGGCUAUUGAAUAUAAUGCAAUUCAGUCUUGCAUCAGUAUAAAAAAGUUUCAGAAUUUUGUCCAUGUUCCUAUCCCGAGAAAAAUCAAAAUUUUGACUUCUUAUUUGAUAUAACAAGUUUUUGGAAGGCAUAACUUUUUCUCCAUUACUAUGUCUCAAUGAGGUAGACUCACAUGGAAGAACUUUGUGAGAUCAACAAGUGAUAUGUCAUGAUAUUUGUAAAAUCAUAAUGUUUUAAUGGUCGAAAGCUGGUAAGAAAGUUGCAGCUGUAAAUUAUUAAUGCAUUUAUUCUAAUUUUUUGUGUUUUCUAUAUAAGCAUCUUAAUUAAUGAUGUUGUAUCCUUGAGUGAGUCUUUUAGUUGGAUCUAGGGCCCAUAUUAUUGCCUAGGGUUGCUAUCGUCAAGCAGGAGAAUGGUUAAUAGAGAGAUUGCUGGACAGUUCAAAAUUUAUGAAUUGCUAACUCCACCUUGAUUUCUUCUUUUGUUUCUUAACCCAGCUCUUCCUCUUUACUUUAUAUAUAUUAUUCGUAAUCACUUUUGCUUUGUUAAGGUUCCUUUUUCAUCACUAAUGUACUCUGCAUGUUCAUGUGCGACAUCGUUUUGUUUCUUCUCCGAUCUCAUCAAUCUAAGGUGGCACCAAAGUGGGAAAAUAAGUAAAAAGGUGGAUUGUGGAUUUUCAUUGUUUAACUAGGAGAUCUCAGUAGCCUUUGAGAGUGUACCUUGUGAAAAUAACGACUAAUAAACAUAAUAAAUAAAUAAGCCUAAGCUAGUCAACUAUUUGGAUUCUGCUUCAUCAUUGGUUUAUAUUCAAAGGUAAGCAUUCCAAAAUACAAAGUGUUUUCAAAUCAGUAUUCACUAAUUUCAUCCUCAUCAUUUUUUUGUCGAACCCUCCAACCCAUAUGUGGGAUCGCUUUACGCUGAAGUUUCAGUAUAGCUUAUGCUACACAUGUCCAGAUCAUUUUGAAUAUCAUACCAUAUAUUGUAAUCUUUCCUACUUUUCUGAUUUGUUGAUCUACAAGACUAGCCACCUAGUUUUACCAAAUCCACCUAAACAUCCUCACAGUUGCAUGCCAAACAGGUGCCCUCAAUAUGUAGGAAUAAGCUGCCUUCCUAGGAUCUAUUUUUUAACUAAAAUCAAAAUAAUUCUGUAUUUUCAUUCUUGGAAAUUUUAAUAAUUCUGAGGAGUCCUGGUUCAUAGAAUGCAAUAAAUAUUAUGAUUUUCAUAGUACAUACCCCAAGCGCAAAGCCUUCUUCCAGUUGACGUCACUAUUUUUGUGCUAUUCUUUGAACCAGCCAUUCUAGAAUGGAUACUAAAUGCUCAAGUCUACGAACCGGACAAACAUCCUUUUUGUUUCGGUAAGACUAAUAGCACUAUAUCAUAUUGCUAUGCGAAGUUCCUAAUGAUAUAGUGCUAUUUGUCUUACCAAAUUGAUUCAGUCUAGUAUGUAAAUUUACGAGCUUAGUUGUUGAUGGCUAUGUUACAUGGACUCAGGUAUGCAUAUUGGGUGUGGGUACGUGUCUAAGCGUCCAAGUGUCACACCAGUGUACAUGUUUAAGUGUCAGAUUUGGCUAAUUUGAAGGGUCUGGGUAACAUAUAUUGCUGGAUAAAGCCUGUGACAGUCUAUGCAUCGUGGUGCUUAUUUAUUUAUUAUGUGUCAUGAUAAGUUCUUCAAUUAAAUGAAACAAAAAAAAAAAUCUUAGCUUAGACAUCUUCUAAGGAUGUUGAAUUAAACAAGAUGUAGUCAAACAGAAAAAGUGCACCAAUGCAAAACAAUUUUCUUUCAUGCAAGUUAAAAUAUCCCUUUUUUUUAAUAAAUAUGGUCAGUCUUUCAUGUAACGGACUUCCAUUACUUCCCUGUGGCAUGAAAAUGCCAUGGUUGUUUUGAACUUAUGUCAUCACAUCAAACAUAGCGUGUACUAACUUUAUCAUUGCGGAUUUUUUAUCUAAAUUUAUAUCUUAUUUUCAUCGCUUAAAAACACUCAUGGCAUCGUCAGCACUACAACCAAAUAUAAUAGAAUCAAUAGUGUAAGUUCGAAAUAAAUCUAAGUUUUAAGGUACUUCGGGGUUAUAUUGCUUUUGUAAUGGUCUUACUUCCAUCUAGAAAUUCUGCCGUCAAGUUUAGACUUGCAGCUCCUCUUAUUUCACACUCGCAACACUACGAUCAACAAUGACGUCUGGAGGUGCCCAUUUGUACUCUGAUAAACAUAGACUCAACCCUCCCUAAAUUUUAAAAAGUCAAACAACAAGAGAAGUAGGGCAGGAUUGCAACAUGACGAUAUGAGGGAUAUAAAAAACCUUUAUUCAUGUAUUUGAGGGCUUCCCUGAUAAUUGUUUCAUUGCAAUAUUGUCUCGCACAUGUCUAUCUCUGCUCCUGUAGGGAGCUUCUUGUAUAUAAGACUCUAAUGGCAAAUAGAUGAGAUAAUUAUUUUGUUGCUAAUGUUCCACUUAUUUGUAGUGGCAAAAAUAUUUCCGCUCGAUUGUUUAGCUGAAUCAAUGUCUAAUGUUGGUAACCCUAGACAUUCAUGCAUCCGGUAGUUAUGGUAGCUUUUUGUGCUGCACAGCCUGUUUAAAAACUCUACAAGCUUUUGAUCUGUUCAGAUACUGGCAAUUUUGCUAGUGCAUACUGAUAGUUCAGUUCUGCCAUAGCCUGUCAUUAUAUCAUUUUCUAGUCAUUAGCCUCAAAUUUUCUGUGUCAGUUUUGCAGAUUUGCAAUCAGAAUGCACAUGUUCUGUUAUUGUAGUUUGCUUUGAGUGCGAUCGAUGUAUGUUGAAGAAAAUUUUUAUAGUGCUAUAUAGAGUUCCAAGAAGUAUUUGACAAGAUCAGGUUGUAGUUUGAAUAUGGCAAAUGACUAGAAGCACUAAGAAAUUUGAAUGGUAUUUAGACAUCAUUGAGGCAAAAGAUGGCAAGGUGAAUACAUAAUAUUUGAGGGAAUAGGAAACGUAUUUAAUUCAAAAGUGAUGUUGUACUAUGGUUUCAAACUCUACAUGGCAUAUCAUCUGAUUUGAUGAAUUGUGAGCAUAUAUGUCGGAGAAGUUUUGCAUCUUGUACUAUUCCAGUAUGCGAAUAAUUUUAGGAGCAUGUGAUGAGCUUUGAAUUCUUCUAUUGGACUACAUGCAUAUGUAAGCCAAUGAUGCAUAGAUGCACGUAUCUCAUUUUCCUUGAAAGCUGGAAUUUUGAGUCCAACCGAUCCUUGAAAGGGAUCCCCGGACUAUCAUUGGAUAUGUGCCACACUCAUGCUGGUGUUACUUGCCUAGAUGCAUGUGUAGGUUUAGCAUGUCAUAAAGGUAGUAAAACUAAUCCAUAAUCUAGCAAAGAUGCAAAUACAAUUCAAAUUAGAUCCAUGAAGAAUGAAGAUUUUGAAGCAUGUAGAAAAGAAUAAGAUUAUGGGGGAGUGGUUCCAUUCCAGAAGGUUGGAUGAACAAUUCUUGUCAAUAAGCUCACUGCCAUAAAUCUAGUAGCUAUUGCUCUUGCAUCCAACUCCUUUUAAUUGUUUUGACAGUUAUUUCAAAGAUCUUGCUCGUAGGCUCCUUUUGGCAUCCAGCUAAUUAUAUUAGCAAUUAUUUUCUAAAAUCCAUUUGGUUCAGCUCAUGACCUUAUUGUCUUGUUGUAGGCACCUAACUUGCUAUUCUCAGACCCCUAAAAGAGCCCACCUCCCAACAACUAAACUCUUAUAAUACCAACUUCCAAAGUUAAUUUGUAUAUUUAACUUAAGGAUGGUGGUGGUUGAUAAGGUUGGUGUGUUCAAUAGAUAAUGCUUGCACCCCUUUUUAGACACUACCACAUUAUACAAUUUUUCAGAUUUUGUGUAUGAUCUACUUUUCAAUACUUGAAAAGUAUGGUAAUUUAAGGACAUUGAAUGGUGAGUGAGCCCAUAAAUAGUUUUCUUUCUAAUCCCUAAUUGCCAACAUAUUAAUAUUUCUUAGCUUAGGGUUUAUAAGGACAUAAGUAAAGCUACUCUCUCAUAUUGUUCAUGAAUAAAGAUCGGAAAGCUCGGCUCUUUCUUUAUUAUUCUCCCAUUUAUCCAAAAGUUGAUAUCAAUCAUAUUGAUGGGUGACCAACAUAGUGACUAAUUGAGAUCUCGGUCUGUCUCAACUGAAAUGGAAUGUGGGAAAAUUUGGAAAGUUCCAAGAUUUUUUUAAGAUCUCGAUUAAUAUAUUUGGACCAAAUAUCAAGAUCUCAACCCGUUAUGGUAAAUCUAGAAUUAAUAAAGGGCAUUGAUUGUGGAAUAAUUGAAACAUCUAUUUAAAUGCAAAGGCAGACAGGAAGUAUUGGCCAAGAUUUUCUAUGUAAUCAUAUCAUUGAGGACCCGAUACUGAUGCAAAGCAAGAUCUUGAAUGAGAUCUUGGCCACCUUGCCGAAAGAUGAGAUCUUGGCCGAGAUGAAAACUAUGCCAAUGGCUCCCAACUUUUGGAGGGUUAUUCAACUUUCUUUAGAUAAUCUAUGCAAUAUUGGGCUAUCCAAUCUUGCAAGCAUUUGCAGUUUGUACUUUAAAGACUCGUUCCAUCUCUUAAAAUACGACACAAAGUAUAAUGCUUUUGCAUACUAACAAUCCUUUUUCAGUAAAAUAUCUAGUUUAUGUUACCUUCUGUGAAGAAGCAUAGUCUAUGAGCUAGGAACUGAUGCCAUAUUGAUAGUUUUUGCAAGAACUCUACCACCCUCCCAAACACGACAACCACCUUGUUGUAAUUUUUUAGUGGUUGUAUAUAAUGAAGUAUUCUUGAUAAUUUUCAACUUCCCAAGGAUCAAUAACUUGUUUCAUGCUUCACUAAUUAGCAAGUCUCUUUUGGUAUGAAUUUUAUCGUAUCAUGUGAGGGUGGUCAUGAAUAAGUUAGCAAUUACCUAUAUGAAAUGUGUCAUCUUCUCCCAAAGUCUAGAUAGAAGCACUCCAUCCCUUUAUCACUCUGCAUCUAAUUUCUCAAAUUAUGAGUCAACAUUACAUAACAAAAUACCCUUAAACUAUCACCAAGACUGGUAGUUGAGUUUAAAACCACUCACAUUUCCUUAUUCUAGUUGCUGAUAAUAUAUGCUUGACCCUUUAUAUUUAAGCCUAGGGUCGAAAGUUAGUCGGAUAAAAUCCAGCUUGAUCCAUAUUCAUAUUCAAAUUGGGUUAAAUUUCUUGGACCUAGAUAAGGUUUUGGAUAUAGAGAUAGAGAUUUUCUUCCUCACUAAUAUGGAUUUAGAUAUAGAGAUGCAAAAUUUGUUGGAUAUAGAUAUAGAUUCGGAUACAAAGAAAAUUUGAUCAAAUACAUAUUAGUAAAACGAUCUAUGUAUCUAGAUUUUCACAAUAUAAUUCAUGCUUCCACAUAUAUGCCUGCUGAAAUUGUAGUCAAUAAAAAAAAUAGAACGCAUUCGCUGUUCUCGUCUUUAAUAAUUUUACCAUUAUUGCUAGUUAUCUUCAAACUUUGCUCAAAAAAUCUUUUGUAGUUGAAGCUAUGUUCAAAAGCCCGGUUGACUCGAGCAGUCAGCCUGUCUGACUUGUCACCUACUAACCUAUGCACGAUGGGUAGGAUCUAAACCCAGAAAAUCUGAAAUCCUUUUUGACUUGUGACUCAGAUUGAACGGGGUGGGUUUGGCUUCUAUGGGUUGAUUAUGAAAAGAAGAAAAAGAAAUGCUCCCACAUUGCAAAACCAUUCCUCCAACUACGGAGGUUGCCAUGUUUUGGCGUGUCUCACAGUUGGAUAAUGCAAGAGGAAGCAACUUGUUGGGUCUCAUUGCAAGAUGCUAAAUCUCAUGGUAACUAAGAAAAGACAAUCGGAUCUCAUAGGAAUGGAUGCGAGGUUGCUUGAUCUCGCAGCAACAUAUCGUAAUCCUGAAGGCGAUGCUACUGGAUCUCAUGGCCUGGAGGUGGCAUGACCUUGAUCGUAGGGUAUGUCGAUCCUCUCCUUAUGGUUUUAGGUGGUAUGCCAGGAAGAGGGGGGGGGGGGGAGGGAUGAGGACUAGUGUGAUGUCUAGACAAGAAUGAAGAAGAUAGGGUGUUUCAGGAGAGUGGAGAAAACACGCAGUGCAUUCACUUUUUAGGUUGGCUCGUUGACCCAUGGUCAAAUCGGAAUCCCUUGGCCUGGCUACCCAAUAGUUUGCUCCAGCUCACUGGUUUUCAAGCAUUGAUUUAGAGCAAUAUCUGAUUUAUAUCCAUGUCCGUUUAGAACAGAUAUAGAUAUAAUUAGACCAAGUAUGAAAACAAUUAAAAUCUGAUUUGUAUCCAUGACCAGUAAGAACAAGUACAUAUACAUAGUUUAGUAUCCAUAUCAAGAUUCAUAUCUGCUGAAUAAAUAUGGAUAUACUAAUAUAAUAUGGAAACAUAUAUGGAUAUACUGAUAUCUUAUCCAUACCCAAUCUUUUUUCAGUCAUAUGAGGUCUUUUUGUUUUUAAUGCAUUCUAAUAUCAAGUAACACAUGAUGCAUGAUGGGUCUACAGAUUAGAGAGAUAAUACGAGGAAAGCAGUGAAGUGGGAAUUCUUAAGAAGUGUUAAAUGACUUAGCUAUAUUGGUAUACUUGAUAUAAACAUCAUCCACCAGGUCAAACAUAAAAGCUCAUCAUGAUAUUAAACUCCAUGUAAAAUUUGAUUGCUCUGGUCCCCCCCCCCAACACACACACACACAUGCACUUGAGAGGUGGAAAAUAGGAAAUGCCCUAACGGUAAGGCCCAUUGUGUAGCUGCAUUUCAAAAAACAAAUAUGAAGUCCAUUUGUCAAGAAAAGGAUAUUGGGAAUAAAAUUAAAAAUGAAGUUGCUUGUAGUCAUGCUUUUGAGCAUUUACAUGAUAAUCAAGGUUGAAAGUACUGGUUUUAAUUGCUGUGCUGAUACCUUACCGGUGUGGUGCAUGUGGUGCCGUACUAACACACAAUAUGCCUCUUACUACUAGUGUAGAACAAAUGAGGGUACACAUGAUGGUACUGCACUAGAAUGGGAGGUGUAAUGAUUUGAUACUUCACUAAAAUGUUUCUGUAUGAGCCGAUACAGGUUGGUACUUAAAUUCUUGAUUAUGAUAUUAGAGAUAUUAGGUCUCAAAAAUAAUCUAUCUAGGUAUUGACCUAAAGAUCAUCAUGACUCUUUGCUAACUUGUACAAAACAAAGAUAAAGAGAAAAAUUCCUUUCAAAACAUGCCCAUUCAUUCUGGAUCUCGGUUAGUCGCUUAAAACAAGCUUAGAUUUGCUUGGAUUUUUGGUUUUACUUUUCUUGUGGUAGCUUGUAACCACAUUUAAUCCACUAUUUAUUGGACACCAGGCAUUUUCAUUUGUUUAUUUCUUUGAACUGACUUGAGCUCCAUUAUGUCCUUUCUCAAUCAUAUAUGUAUAAUAGCUUCAGAUUGACUUAAAAUUAAGUAUACUAGUAUUUUGUACCAUGAAUUUACAGAAACAUACGUAUGUAGAUAUGUAUGUAUAUAUUAUUUACUUAUUACACUUUAAUUGUCCAAAAGAUUAUUAUAUCUCAUUUUGCAGAAUAACAGAUGUCGAAUUUGCACAUUUUUCUCAUAUUUUUUAGGUCAAGUCGUUAUUUAAUAAAUGCAUGCAUUUAUACAAUGUUAUAUUUAAUUUAUUAAAAAAGAUGUUAGUUUUGUGAAAUGUCUUGUAUCUAGUUGUUCAUAUUAGUCUAGCUUUUGUAUGAGUGUUUUUUUUGAAGGCCUUAGCCCAUUAUGGUUUAAAAUUAUUAUCUACUCUUAAUCCUCUUAACUGAAGAAAAAGAAAUUAAAUUAGUUAAAAAUUGAUACUUUGUAUCCUGUGUAUUUAAAUAAAUAAAGAGAUUAUUGAAAUAUGAGUUUAAACACUAAACGUGAAUUUAGAAAAAGCAUCUAUGGUUAUUUGCAGCCAAAACUAGUUGAAACAGCUAGAACUGGUCGGCUUGGGCCGAAACUGACCGAAAUCUGGUAGUGGGGGUUAGUUUCGCUUUGAUCUUGGCCAAAAAUUAAAACCUUGGUCUUGCGGCAUAAUAAAACCAUAUACCCUAUGAAUUGGCGUCGAUCCAUCUUCUUGCGGUAUAAUUUGCUAGAAGCUCAACACAAUACAUGGUCUUCAAAUUUCACACCUUCUUCCUUCUCGUCAAUAAUUGCUGUGAUCUCAUUUGCUUUUCAUAUUGGCCUUUUUGAGCAUUGAUGUCCUAUAUCAAGAACUAAAGUGUAUGUUGCCAAGUUCAUGUUGAUCAGGAGCUGAUAUUGUACAUAUAUUAUGUUGUGUAGUGUCAACACUUGGCAUGCACUGUCAUGGAAUGCGCACAAGUCUAUAAAAGGAUCUGGUACACUAAAAUUUGCUACUCUUUUUUUUUCUUCCUUUAGCCAUCUAUAGAAGUCUACUUAAAUUGUUGUAUGCUUGUGUAUAGGCUCUUUUAACAAAAAGCAUGGUUUACAACUAGUCUACAGAAAUCUAAUAAACCAUCUUUGAUAUCUGCGUUGAUUGCAGCAUGCAUAUUGUGCAGUUUUUGAGCAAGGUCUGAAAAUCUGUUUUGGUGGUUUCAGUAGGUUCACGUCCAUGUGUAGAAGUUUCACCUGCAAAGGGCAUAACAAAAAAAUAGAAUAUUAAAAUAAGUCAAGAAAAGUCAAUAUUCAACAAAGUAUUUGUUAUAUCGGUUCCUUGUGUAGUUUUGAUAGUUUUAGACUGAAAUUAAUAUGGCAUAUAAAUAGAAUUCAUAAAGCAUGCUGGUGUUUUGUUAUAUAGAUAAAUACAUUAUUUGCCCUUUUAACUUCCACCAUUUGAUAAAUCAUUAUAUUUAGCAAUUCUGAUGUUUUUCGGUGCUCAAUGCAUUUAAAUCUUUUUCUUCAUGAUUUGCUCAAUCGAACACAUAAAUAUAUUGAUUUUGAGCCCUUUUUUCCAUAUUUAAAAUUAAGUGACUGUUUAGUUAAUUGCAUGUAGUUUGUACCCAAAAAAAUUGCAUGUAGUUACAUAAUGUUGUAUUUAUAGCAAAAGGCUAUUCUGAAGGUUGAUGUGUGCUUAGUUGUUCAUGUUAAUCCUUGUAGAAUACUGAAAUAAGGGUCUUUUCAGAGGCCUUGGCUGGUCAAGGAUUAUAUUAAUCAUUCAUUCCCUCUUUUAAUUAAAGAAGAAAAAGCUUAAAAUCAACAUUAUAUAGCCUUUAUACUUAAAGAAAUAAUCCUGAUAUGAGAGUGACUGUCAAAAUAAAAAUUAAAGAACAUUUAUAGAUUUUGGACAAUUUUUGCCAAAAUUGGGCUAAAAUCGAUCUGUUUCAGCUAAUAAGACUAAAUAAAACUGCCAAAAUUGACUGAGCCCAAAGUUGGGAAUUGCUCUUGGUUUGGUCUUGAAGGAAACAAAUUGGUUGCCUGAGUAAUUUGUUGGAAACUGACUUUAUAUAACUAAGCUACAUACUAAUGAUACAAAAUAGGCUCAAAGUUGAUGAGAAAACUGCACGGGAAUGUGUAACUAUGUGUAUGCAUUAGAACUAUGUCUACAGACUAUAAUAAUUCAUUUUAAUUGUUGUAAACACACUGCUGGUACUGUGGGAAUUCAACUGAAAACUUGCUUUGAAGCUACCAAACAUGGUUUGCAGGUGGUAGUGUGCAGGAAUAAUGUGACUGAUGAUACACAUAGAGGCUCCAUAGAAGGAUGUUGAUGAUUCUUGAAUGUUCAAGCACAAUAUAGUCCCCAUUUAUUGGAAAUUUGUCUGUGCCUAUUGUAUACAGCUAAUACGCUGGACAAUAACUUUUAGAGAUUAAUAUUAUCUCAAAAAGUUAAAAAUGUGCUCUUAGAACCUAACAAUUUGAAGAUGAUUGAUGGUUGAUAGGACAUUGUUUGCUACCUUAUACCAGAAACUAGUGGUGUAUCAAAGAUUUCCUUAAUAAGACUAAUGUGUGGUGUUAAUUUUUUUCUUAAACUUAACGUCUGGAUAUAUCUACUUUAAAGCCAUAUCUACAUAUUAUUCACCACAUAUCUAAUUCUUUUCAUGUGCGUGGCAUCAGCAUUAGCAUUCUUGGAUCAGUUACACGCAUUUUGUGUGCCAAAUAAUCUGCAAAUGGAAUAUGGAAUACAAUUUGGAUGUCCCUUAUUGAUUUUUGAAUUGUUAAAUCUUAUGUCAAAGAUUUAAGAUAUAAUGUUUAGUCUAAAUCAAUCAUGCACACAUGUACUCAUGCAUGUGCACACAUACACACAUGGGAAGACCUAAUCCAGACAUUUUGUUGUUUGAUCAUUGAUGGAUCAAAAUCACCCAUCAAGUACUCUUCCUCUUCGAUCAGUCUCAUGAAUCUCACAUAAAAUGCUAGUGCUUGGAAUAUUAGGAAGAUUCCUACCUUUUGGUCAAGAUGUUUUUCAUGGGAGUUGCUUUUUUAAGGUAGAUGAUAUCUUUGGAGUAUAACUCUUCAAUGAAUAUUUGGAUUGGAAGAGAAAGCUUACUAUAUUUGCUAGUGAUUUAUUCUCAUUUCCUUUUACUUUUUGAGUGCUUUAUAAUGCACAAUUCUUAUAUAAUAUUAGUAACCAUGUCCAUCUGCUGCUUUUCUCAGAAGUAACUUUGCCCCUCAUUGAUGAAGCUUCUUUUAUUGUCACUGGUUCUUGAUGUAGCAGUACAUGUUAGCUGCUUUAUCUCUUCUAUUAAUUUCCUGGCUCAGAUGUUGCAGUUGCAGUUGGCUAUUUAUCCAUCAAGUUGUGUACUUGUGUUGAAUGUUUGUUGUUCCAGCAUUCUCCAACAACAAUUGGCAAAACAGAGAUGUAAAUAAUUGCUCUCUCAUGAAGCUUCAGAAGUAUGACAUUAAAUCAUGGUUUCAAAAGCCUGUGCUGUCAAUUGGCAUGUACAGUGCUAGGCUAGAAUGAGCACAUGAUAUGCAUCAGCACGACACCUAUUUAACCAUUUUUUUAAUAUUUCUUUUUUGAUUUUUUUGGCACAAUGUGUCAUGUGCCAGCACAGCACAUGCACUGGCACCUCACCUGCUAUUGGGGGUAAGAAAUGUAAUCAUAGGACAGAGAGAAACUAAAUUUAAGUGAACCAAGGCUUGCCCUAGUAGUUACACUCUACUUAGGCAACCAGAAGUUCUAGUUUUCAGUCUCGGAUGGUCCAUUUCCAAGCGUUUGAGCCUACGUAAUUAAAAUGGGGGGGGGGUCUCCCUCUCUUUCUCUACAGGAAAAGAAACUAAAUUUAGCAAUGAUCUAUAACCCAGCUAUGCAUUCUCUAUGAAUUUGUAGUUCUUUUUGUAACAUUUAGUUUGAAGAACUUAUUUGCAUAAAAUGCUUUUGUUCUCUUAAACUGGCACUGAGUUGAUGUGGGAUCAUUCAGGUAGCAGAGCGCACAUUAUUUCUUUGGAAUAAUGAUCAUGUAAGAAGCUUGAUCACCCAAAACCGGAAGGUUAUCCUGCCAAUUAUAUUCCCGGCUCUGGAGAGGAACACCAGGGGACACUGGAACCAGGCUGUCCAGAGCCUGACCCUGAAUGUGAGGAAGCUAUUUUCAGAUGCUGACCAGGAGCUAUUUGAGGAAUGUUUACUAAAAUUCCAAGAAGAUGAAGCCAAGGAAAGGGAGGUACAAAAGACGAGGGAAUUAACUUGGAAGCGCUUGGAAGACGUUGCAACAUCCAAAGCUGUUAGUAAUGAAGCCGUGCUUGUUUCUCGAAUAGUCUCUUCCCUUAGCAUGGCUUCUUCAAGCUCACGUGCUGCAGUCGGAACGUAAGAAUGCUUGUUUUCACUCUUCUGAUUCGGUACAGGGCAGUGCUGAUCCUUGGUGGGCCGAUUCUGCUGGUUUCUUAUAUGGCAGACAAUCAUGAUAUGAAGAAAAGCGUCUCCGGUUGUAAUCAUUUUGUUUAUUAUCCAUCUUUUUAGGCCAUGAAAAAUGUGUGUAUAAUUAGAAAUUGUUAUAGAGAUAGAACUUUCAGCGGAUUCGGUAUAAUAUUUUAUUUGUUUUCAGACACCUGCGUUCGCGUUCGUUUGGUAGUUUUAUUUUCUGUACUAUUUUGCAUCAAUGUUGGGUUCAUAUUGUUCAUCUUCUAGGCAAGUUAUGAUCUCAGGGUUCUCUACAAUUCUUGAUACAACAUGGCUUGUUCGUUCUCCCUGGAUUGUGGGGUAGCUGCUUUUUUUUUUAAAAUUUCUGGAUCCUCUAGUUAAAUAUUCUCUAGGCAUCCUCUUGUACCUAUGGAUUCUGAUGUCAACACUCUUUGAACUAAAUGUAUGGCAGUGGAUAGUCAAUAUUUAGAAAAUUCUUAUCUCAUGCCUAAAUACCUGUCCCUUGUUAUUCUCAGAGGAUGAUAACAGGUACUCUUGGGAUGGGAUCAACCAUUAAAGAAGGCUCAUCUUUGGUCUGCUGCACCCGGUAUGAGAUCAGGAUAGUGUGCCACCAUGAUCCAAAGAUGUUUGCAGGAAUUAGACUUCUUAUGCAGUCCCAGGUACGAGGAUUUUCAAGGGUGCAUCCCUUUAUAUCAAGUUAGAGAUAACCCACUCUAUUGCCACCUUAGGUACGUUGCUCUUUGAUAAAUUUGUUCUACACACAGAGAGAGAGAGAGAGAGAGUUAUAAAGUUAACAUUAUAUCUUCUGCGGAAUUAAAGAAAUCAGAUGGUUUCUUCUCAAUGCAAUCCCACUCCUGCAUCAUGACAAUGUCCACGAGAAAUUAAAUUGAGAACAAAGUUGAAAUAAUAUUACAUAAUCUAUCAAAAUGUACACAAAUUCAUGGACCGUCUGAAUUUAGCGCUCUUGGAUGGUUGUCUUAGAAAAUAUCAUCAUGUCUCCCAAAGUCAAACGCGGCCAUCCCUUGACUUAAUUGACGAAUCUGUCCAUUUCCCUGCCGAUAAGCCUCGAUGGAUGCCUAAGCACUUCGGGUGAAGAUAAGUGUCACACUAUUGACAAAUAAUGUCGCACACUGUAGUUUUUUCUUUUCUUUUUCCCCUUGCCCCACUGCAGCAGAAGUCACCAGAAAUAAGAAAUGGAUUUCUUACCCUAUGCUUACUUCCAUAUGAUAGUUUCACAAGCACCUUCUUAUAGGAGACUGCAUGACUUUUUCCAUGCACGCAUAGACGACCAACCAACUUGACACUGUACCCGCACCCGGAGUAGAAAGCUAGCCAAGGAAACACAAUAUAAUAGCCUCCCCUUUCUGCUCCAUUUUUUUCCAUCUACCAUCUUCUUUUGCUUUUGUUUUGUAUCAGAAAAAAGUUUUUUUUUUUUCAAAAAAUAGUAGUUUCUCUGACUCGCACCAUUUGUUUUGGAUGAUUGCCUCCAUCUGUGAAGUUAUCAUUCCCAUACAAAACUCAUGCCCUUCCAUUAGAAAUAUCAAACAAACAAAAUGGCAUUAUUGCUGCCCUCCAAAGUUAUGAAGGAACUCACAGUCAUCAUGAUCUGCCAGCUCAUGAGUCUCCGUUCAGGUUUAUUUGGAGUGGAAUAAUAUCUGUUAUAAUGGUAAUUAUCAACCAUCACGGUAGAAGAUGGCUAGGAUUUCUCAUCUGAUUACUUUUUUAUAAUAUAAAACUUUUAUUUGGUAAAUAGUUAGGAUUUCUCUCAUUUCCAUUUCUUAAACAGCAUUCAACUAGAUGCAAUUCUGGAAGUUAUACCUAUAUACAUAUACAGAGAGAAGGAGACAGAGAGGGAGAGAGAGAGUGGAUGUAAAGUUGGAAACGAUAUAUCUAGAGAAGAUUUGGCUACAGUAGUAGAGACUAAAAGCCAAACAUAAAAAAGAUAGCUGUGAAACAAUAACUAUUCAGAUGCUUGUUUAUAUUACUGCAAAUUAUAAUAAAAACAAAAAAUAAUUAAGAUAUUAUUCCAUCAUAUCACCAUUUAUAUAAUAUUUAUAUAAUACAGGUAAAUUGUGAAAGCAAUAAAUAACAGCCAUUGCAUUGGUUAUAUACUCCCCAUCAUAACAACAUAACAUGUUNNNNNNNNNNNNNNNNNNNNNNNNNNNNNNNNNNNNNNNNNNNNNNNNNNNNNNNNNNNNNNNNNNNNNNNNNNNNNNNNNNNNNNNNNNNNNNNNNNNNNNNNNNNNNNNNNNNNNNNNNNNNNNNNNNNNNNNNNNNNNNNNNNNNNNNNNNNNNNNNNNNNNNNNNNNNNNNNNNNNNNNNNNNNNNNNNNNNNNNNNNNNNNNNNNNNNNNNNNNNNNNNNNNNNNNNNNNNNNNNNNNNNNNNNNNNNNNNNNNNNNNNNNNNNNNNNNNNNNNNNNNNNNNNNNNNNNNNNNNNNNNNNNNNNNNNNNNNNNNNNNNNNNNNNNNNNNNNNNNNNNNNNNNNNNNNNNNNNNNNNNNNNGAAAGCCAACACCACUUGUUCCUUGUCGGAAUAGAGAUGCACAGUAGUAACCCUCUCCUGGGGUAGGGUAGGGUUUCUUUCCGUUUCUCCCCACAGCUCCCACUACCCCCCACCUUCUUCACCACCUCCCUUGCUUUGCUCCCUUCUCUAGGGCUCACAACCCCCCCUCUCCCUCCUCUCACCCCCCGCCGCUCCCCUCCCUCCGCCCCCAAAAGAUCCCUUCCCAACCCGACCAAAAUAGAGUCUUCUAGAGACCCAUCAAAUACCAUGAAACAUUCAAUGCAUCCUUAAGGCCUCCCCCCUCCACUCCCUUUUCCUCAUCCAUAUAAAUAAAUACAGAUCUCUACCCCCUGGAUCUCAUCGGCUUCUCUUCGAGAGCAUAUUACCAGGAGCGAGCGAGACGUCGGUCGAUGGCGAAGACGAAGCCGGGGAAGAAGGAUUUGGAUUCCUACACCAUCAGAGGCACCAACAAGGUCGUCCGAGGUAAUCGCCGAUCGACGAAGCCGAUCAUCCUCACUUUCUCUUCUUUCUUUCUUUCUUUGGAUGCAAUUGGAAUGGAAUGAAUGGUUGAUGGUUCUGGAAAUGGCUGGAGAGCAGCGGGGGACUGCGUGCUGAUGCGGCCCGCGGACUCUGAUAAGCAGCCGUAUGUCGCACGGGUGGAGAAGAUCGAGGCGGACCACCGUGGGAACGUGCGCGUCCGGGUGCGGUGGUACUACCGGCCGGAGGAGUCGAUCGGUGGGCGGCGCCAGUUCCACGGGGCCAAGGAGCUCUUCCUCUCGGACCACUAUGACGUGCAGAGCGCCCACACCAUCGAGGGCAAGUGCGUCGUCCACUCCUUCAAGAAUUAUACCAAGCUUGAGAACGUCGGCACCGAGGAUUACUUCUGCCGCUUCGAGUACAACGCUGCCACUGGGGGGUUCACUCCCGACCGGGUCGCCGUGUAAGCCCCCACUCACUCUCAUUUCCUUUGUUCUCCCUGCAUCUCUCGAUUCCUGUAGAUUUUGUCCUGAUACUUAACGUAUAGAGUGUCUGUCUGUCUUCUUGGAUUGAAGGUACUGCAAGUGUGAGAUGCCGUAUAACCCGGAUGACCUCAUGGUCCAGUGUGAGGGAUGCAAGGACUGGUAAAUCUUCGUGAAAUCUCUCAUCGCUACUCUGUUCCUCAGUAAAUUUAUCAUCCCGUGACCACUUUUUAUUUUUUUUCUUUCUGAAGUUAUGGUAGUUAUUUUUCUUUGUUCAAGCUAAUAAAACGACAGAGUGGAUGAUAUGCAUCGCGUCUUGGAUUUGGUGUUCUUUUUGGAAGCUGUGGGGGAUUUUGAUUUGUUUGUUUGUCUUUUCAUUUCUGUGGCGAUUUUAGUUUGUGCGACCAAGAGUUCUGGGUAAUGUUAACUGGAUAAUAUUGACAGUUUGAGGUUUCUAAUAUAAGCAUCGAUCUUGAGAUGUCCAUUACUGUUAAACAUGUUGUUGAUUCACUCAGAAUAUGUGUUAAUUUGGAGGAAAUUUUUGAUUUCCCUGUGCUUCAUAUAAUAUGCUCUUAUUGCAGUUUUCAAUGUUUAAGGAUAAAAAGCUUUGGUGUUGUUGGUAAAGGGAUUUGAGUUAAUUAUUAAAAGGCUUUGGCUUUUUAGUUAACUUCUUCUAUUUUAGUUCAAAUUAGGAAAAGGAUCUUCAUGGCAUGGCCAUGAGCUGCCUACAGAAUAUCUACUCCUGUGCAGCUGUUACUAGCAGCAAUGAAGUGAUACCUGAGUUUGGCCCUAUGUAAUCCAUGUAUAUGUUACCAUGCCUUGCCCUUUUUUUUGUUUUAUAUUUUAAUCAGCACUUUUGGGAGAGGCAAAAUCUGAGUGCUGCUGUAUGAAACAAGAUCCACUGUUUUGGUGACGAAGAAAACUUUGCAUGGUGAGCUGUGGAGUACUGAAUUAACAAGGUUUAUUAGAAUCCAGUAGUAAAGUCUCAUUCUGUCGUAAAGUCCCAAUUCUUUAUGUAGUAAAGGAUUGCGGGCUUGGCUACUGUUAUUAUAUGAGUAGUGUUGUACCAUUUGGCUUUUAGUUUGGUAGGCUAUGCUUGAUUUGUUUUGUUUUCCCUGUAGUUCUGAGUAAUCGGAUAAAUAGUUAAUUUUUAUAGUUAGACAUCUCAAGCAAGAACACAUUUGAAGGGGAAAAAGUUUAACAUCUAACUGUGUAGAAUUCAGAUCUUUGGAGGGCUUGAAGCCAUGACAUGAUUUCAUAGUGAAGCUUCCAGUGGUAAGGUUACGCAGUCCAACCUAAUGUUCACGCUAUACAUGGUUUGGCAUCCCAAAUGAGGCAUAUGCAAAGGGUUUACGCACACCUAAAUGUUGUCAGAUGAAUGACUUUAAUUGAAACUUCUCCCCCACAAUGAUGCGUGUUUGGGAGGUGCUGGUCGAACUUGAUGUAUGUAAUUGACAUGCAAUUCACUUAAAGUGUAUAUUAUGGUUCUCUUGAUUUGCUUAGCAAAACUUCGUGCCAAAAUCAAACCACUGCUGUGUGUCACAAUUAGGGCCAAAGGUAAAUUUUUUGAGAUUAUACAUUUCGGCUCUUGUACUUAUAUUCUCAAAAUAUUUUUAGCAUGCCAGUUGCAGUAAUGACGAUGAAUUGGGAGAAGAGAGAAAAGGAUCGUAUGACAAUUGGAGUUAGGUGAGAGGGAGGGAGUUUAAUAUGCAUACAAACAGGCCAAAAGAAUGUCAUGAGUUUCUGGCUCAAAGAAAAUGUGCUUAGUUGCUAAUCUGGAUUUGGUUUAUUUUAGGACUGCAUUGAUUAAUCAGGUAAUUUAAUGCUUAUUUUAAAUUGUAACUGAAAUGCGCAAAAAGUUAAAUUAAAUAUUAAUAUACUUGAAAGUAAAUAUUAGUAUACUUGAAAGCAAAAUAGAUCUUGAGUUAAUCGGGAGGAGAGAUUACACUGGCCCAUACUUUUGCACUCUUAAUCUGGGAUUAAACUAGAGAUCAAUGCUUGAGAACUAGAAACACAUGCAUUUAAAUCUUUUAAUAUUGACUACUUAGUGUAGUUGAUAAAUGAUUUGAAUUGUUAAUCCCUAGAUGUUUGACAAUCUUAUAUGGCCAAGCUUUUCUUGACUUUCCAAUGGUGGAUGACAUAAGUUGACUGUUUUAAUUUUGCAUUGUGUAGAAUCGGAUGAUUGAUGAUAAAUUUAUGCUUGAAUUGGCCUAUUCGAGCUGAUUCAUGUGUUGGUCAGGUUGAAUUGGAAACCUUGCAUUUCAUUCAGUUCUGCUUAGGACCAAAAUCCAAAUUGUCAUAAGUUAGCUUGAAUGAUGCAAUUCAAAUGGAUCUUCCAACUGCAAACAUAUAGAAGUUGCAGUGAGAGGGAGAUAGAAAAUUUAUUAGCCACUCGAGGGAGCAUCAUGACCCAGACAUCAACUUCAUGGAACAUCGUUAUUGGCUCAUCCAUAUGAUCAGUUGACCGCAUGCAAGCAUGUAUACAUACGUGUGUUAUGCAUAUAUGUCAAUAUAUGAUGAACCGGAGAAAGGUACUUUUUUUUGGUGGUACAACAUACUUACCACUUCCAUGCUUCACCACAGCAUUAUCUCAAGGCAAAUUAAAUUAUAUGAAGAAGCAAAACGAGUGGCUUCAUCUCCCCUUACCUUUCUCCCUCACCACCCUUCUCUCUUCCUGCUGUAAUUACACAUUGUUUUAUCCGCUCAGCGUCUCCUCUCAUUCAUGCAACUAGGAUUAUAAAGAAACAAAAACUUAUUCUGUUGUUAUCGCAGUGUAUUUGCCUUAGUUGGGAUUCAUGAAUGCAGAUGAUCAUGUUUUUGUGGUAAAGCUCAAACUGAUAUAUAUUUUGUGAAAUGAAUAGAAGAGUUAUUUAAGUUGGUUUUUGGCUGUUACAUCUAGUGGGCUGACACUUUCAUGUCUCCCAUAUAUAGUUGCUUUGAUUGGUAACCAAUUCAUGUGAUUCAUAUGGUUAAUGUUUAGGUAGGAUUAGCCAGUUUCUCUAGAAAUCAUACCUUCAUGUGCAUUAUAUAUGCCUUAGAUAUGUUUACAAAGCACCGAUCAAGAAAGACUACCAAACAAAGCAACAUGUAAUUCAAUAAUUGGAGUUUUCUGUACAUUAAUGGACAAGUGAAACAACUCCUGCAAAUCACCAACCUUGUCUACAGACUGCAUACGAAGAGCAUGGUGAGAAAUCAGAUUCUAAAAGGGUAAGGGCUAUAGUUAGUGCUUCCAUGGACAUAUGCAGCUUUGUGUUAAUGUGACUGAAUCACCUAUAAAGAGAAGAGUGAAUGAAAUAAAAAUGACAAGUUCAUAUAUUUUUCUCCUAAUAUAUUCAUACACUGUAUGAAAUUUUGAGCAAUUUGCAGUGCCAACUAAUGUAGUUAAUAAAAACCCUUUUAUAUCCUUCUAACUCGUUACCAUUUCAUUCAUUAAUCUUAAAAGUUAAUUAUCCAAUGAAUUGCAUAUUUCAAUUUGUAACUAUCGUAGAAUGCUAUCUUCUUUGGCUGUAUCUUGCAAAAUUUGUCAUGAACUGCCUUUUAGUGCAUCCCAAGCAUUUUAAGCAAGAGAGGUGUCUAACUUUAUUACCUGAUAUGCUUUUGACUGUGAAUUUCUGCAUCAAAUUUUCUAUCAUCUCCUUAUAGUUAAUUGGUUUGGAUUGUUGUUCAAAUAUUACAUUCAAGCAUUUAUGAACCGAGGUAUUCUUACAUUUGAUGAAACUUAUGUGCCCAAGAAAUUAUUGUUUUUGUAGUCUACAACAUUGAAGAUUGAGUUUGCCUUUAGCCUUUUAGGCAUAGAUUCUGGAAUUGCACUUCAAUUAUGCUUGAUGAUCAUAUUAAAUUCUCAAUAAUCUGAAAAUAAAUUAACAGUGAAUGCACAUAUAUGUUCUUAUUUUAACUCUUAUUAGAGGUGCAAGAUAGCCACAGUCGAUCAAAGUUCAACUUAAACUUGCAGUCAGUUCUCAUCUAGAAAAAAAGUAAGGUUUGGUUUGAAUCAGAUUGGGUCCACGUUGAGUCUAUAUUCAUGAUUUACAUUAAAUAUUUUGUGAGUCGAGUCUGCUUGUUCUUGACCUAAACUUUAUGCAAUCUAGAAUAGAAAGAUAAGAAUCAAAACAAACUUUAGAGUUUUGGUGGGUUUUAUUUCUAGGUCCCCUGCACCUCGUGCUUGUGCAUUUCUCAUGCAAGGGAGAUACAAAAUAUAAAAGGAAUAUUUUUUUUCCUGAGGUUAUUAAGAUUACUUGCUUUAUGUUUUGGGUAGGACGGAAUUUAUAUAUAAUCUAAAAGUGGAAACAAUCAAUUUAGAAACAAUUAAUAAGGAGCAUAAAUCACUUAAUUAGUGAAAAUUAAUAUGUUGUCCUGAUCUUGAAGUUAUUAGCUCAAAUAGUUUUAAACAAGUGAAUUGCUCAUCUUCUUUUACUUGGUAUUCGAUGGGAGGGUACCCUUUUGUUAUGUGCAAUGAUCUAAGUACAUAUUUUUAAAAUGUAUUUUACAUUUGAAUAUAUUGUUUCAGGUGACACAAUUAUUGCAUGUUUUAAUUUAUAUAGUUCAAAUAUCAGAACUUAGCAUCACACUUGACGUUGAUAUUACGAUGAUCUAACUUAUGAUAUGGUGCAUUGCUACCUGUUUAUCUUGUUCCAUGGUAAAUGACAUUCUUGACGUCAUAUUCAGAAUCCAACCGAGUCUGUCAUAUAAUUUUUUCAUGUACCAUUUUCUUCACCAUGCCUUGGUGCAACAGUAACAUUGCUCCAUUAUGACCUGGGGGUCAUGGUUUGAAACACAAAAAUAGCCUCUCUGUGUAGAGAUAAAGCUGUAUACAUCUAACCCUCCCCAGAUCUUGUAGCCCUAUAACCAGUAUCUUCACCAUAUUUUUGAAUUAGUUUCUGGAUCAUGCCUUUUCGAAUGCUGUUUAAUGUGCAUGUACUGUUGUCACCAUCACAAAAGUAAAAGGCUAAUAUGGAAAAAUAUGGAGAAAAUUAUUAUAACAUUUAUAAGACUUCUGUUUCCCCGUGCAUGUUGUACCCUAUGAUUACUUAGUGGAUGAAGGUUUUUUGGAGAGAAGAUCUCUCUCUCUUUUCUAAUCAACUCUGGACCUGAUCGAUCACCCUAUUUCCUUCUCUUUCUUAAUUCUGAUAUAAACAUUAGGUAAUUCUUUAUGCUAGUGUGCUGUUUUGUAUUUUCUUCAUCAUGUGAGGAUUCUUGGUUGAGAAGUAGUCAAAAGAGUUGGAUAUGGUAGGAAUGUAGUUUCAAAAGCUAGUCACAGUGAAUUUAAUGAAGAAUAUUUUUUGCACUGGUGACUAAUUGAAUAUUAGACAAAUGGAAAUUUGAUUUUGAAUAGCUAAUCAUUGCAGUCUGAUGGUCAAAGAUGCCAGAGUUAAUAUGCUUAAUGAAGAUUUAUCAAAUGAUGAUGGUAUCAUUUGAAGAGCUCCAGACUCGGAGAAUGAUUCAGCUUUUGGUUAUUUGUGACCUGUGUGAAAUAUCGAGUUCUUGACUAUAUAAUGUAGGUUAUAAACCCUUUUGUAGCUACACAAAAAGCUGCCACUAAAAUUCUAUUUGUUUGGCAUUCCAGCUAUUAGUGGCAACAUUUAGCAGGAGCUGUUAGAAAGUUGUCGCUAUAAACAUCUUUAGCGCAACUAUGCUAUUGGCUACCACUGAAAGCUGAUGGUAAUAUUUAGUGGUGUCCAGGGAACAGCCUCCCUUGCAUCAAAUUUUUGUAGCUACUGCUAAAAAUUAGUCCCUAAUUUUUGUACAGUAAAAAAAAAUCUAUUAUUGGUCCAUUUAGAUGAUCAAUAGCAUAGGAUGGUUAAAUUUCUACUUUAUUUGGGUAUGAGAUAGCAAAGGAGGGACACGAAGAGAUAUGAGACCAUAAGAAGAGUAAAAGUGAGAUAGAACACAUGCCAAGGUUUAGAAAGUUAACAUGCUCCAUGAUAGCCUGAUAUUCCGUGUUGUGCUUUAGAUAAUGAAAAUCACCAAAAAUAAACAUUUAAAUAGUAGGUCUACAGCUUUAUGGUUAGGAACAUACUUGAUGCAAAAAAGUGGGGAAACAGUCACCUAUUUCAGUUGUGCGCAAUGUUAUUGCUAUUGUUGAGAUAAAGUACAUUUCCUCGGUCCUUCCACAUACUAAAUGGAAGUUCAUUCGAACAAAACCUCCAACUUACAAUAGAACAAGUGAUACCAUAAUCUGUUUCCUCAGGUUUGAUUUCUUUCUUUUUAUUUUGGUUUAAAAAAAACAUGACCAGGCUUAACUACUAAUGUUACACAUACAUCAGCUAUUCAAUGAUAGAUGUCGACUUUAUUUUACCUUGAAUUCCAAAAACAUCGCAGAGCCUUUCAAUUUGUGUUUCAUGAACUCAUAAACCCUUGGUAAGAAGAUUUGCCAUUAUGAAUCAUUAGUUUUGUUCUGUUCAUAUUUCCAGGGGCUUAGUGUACUUCUCGGUCAAUCAAUUGUUCCAUUUGCUGCUUGACACUUUUAGUUGAUGUAUCAUGUCAAAGGCCAUUUCAAUCCUUUGAAUUGUAGUGCUUUUGUUGUGCUUGCUAUUGUGGAAGCUCUCGGUCAGUAUGCUAUUUCAUAUUUUUUUUCACUUUAUAUUAUGUUAUAAUGAAUACUAACUUUUAUUUUCUAAAGUUAGAUCUUUUUUUUGCAUUAAUUUUUUAAAAAUUGUUAAAUUUAUUUCAUUCAUUAUUUUCAAAAGCCCAACCGUUCAGUCGAUAAACUAGAGAUUAGCGUUAACUAUUUCACUAUUCUUCUUUUUUAUGGUAUCAUUGUAUUCAGAUAUUCAUUUGAUGUAUGUUAUGUGCAUUCUUUUGAGGGCAGGUUUCAUCCAUCAUGUAUGGGCAUGACUAUCGAGCAAGCUAAAAAAUUAGACCACUUUUUAUGUUCAGAUUGUUCCACCGAUGAUGAUGCCAAGAGAUCUUUGAAUGCUUUUCCCGUCUCACCUUCUGAGCCUAAGGUGAGAGUAAUGCUGUUGUCUUUCCCUAGUAUAUAUUAAGCGCUUUAUAAUCUUUUUAGAGUAAAAUCUAUCUAUAAAAAUGACUCUUCCUUCAAGUUUUUUUGUGUAACACAAAACACAUACGUAUAUUUGUACUUGUGUAAAUAUGCAUAUUUCCUGGCAUAUAUUUCUGUAUGCUGCGAUAACACGGUUUCGGGAAAACAAAGUAUUGAACCGUGUUUGAUAGCCUUGAGCGGCGAUUCAAUUAUGAAGUGGCUGACAGAAGAAAAGCUAGUUGGUGGUCCUAAGAUGCAUGGAUCAUACAGAGAAACUCAUUUUUCAUCACAAUCUACAAUGCCCUAAGUGCCUACAACUAGUAUCUAUAUGGCUAGGAGCCUUGCUAGUUCUUAUCUAUGCAUCAAGUGAUACUAAAUGAAUAGAUUUCAAGGAAUAGAAUGAAUAACUUAAUUCAAUGCUGUUCAGAAUUAUCCAAACAGCUUGAAUUAUGAUCAUGAAUUUAAGAUAUUUUAGGCUAUGUAAAAUGCAACAGAUGGUGUAAACCAUCAACUUAAAUGACCCAUCAUGCAUUUUCACAACUAAAGCUUUAUAUAUGCGCGUGCAUGGGAGCAUGUAUAAGUCCAUGUUAAAUCCCUCGAGUAAAAUCUUGCUGGUGUGUCAUACUGCCUGGUUAUAAGUAGUGCCGUUUUCUUUCCUUAAAUAAACUUCAAUCAGCCUUCCAUCAACUACUCUAAGCUGUGGAGCUAUUGGCUUCAGUGUGAAGCUCAGGUUGCUUGUUUUAUGCUGUAAUGUUCUUCUUCUUCAAGCAAGUUCCAGAUCUCCUUUGAUUUAAUGACACGUUAAACACUUGACCGGUUAUGUUGGAUUCUGAACUUGCAAAGUCUCUGUCCAGUUCUAGUCAGUCUAUUGUAACUGGAGAAUAUAGACUACUUUGAAAAAUAGUAAUAGAUUCUUGAUAUUGUUAGCCAUAUCUAUUGGCUGUCUCGUUCUAUUUUUCUUGAUGUUCAUACUGUUUGCAAUUUGUAGGUUGAAUCUAAAAGGCGAAAGAGGUAAUUGUUGAUACUGAAGGUAGUCACAGAUAAGCGAGCAUUUUCUGGUGAGGUUGCUCUUCCAUUAUUGUUGGUCAUGUAGAACUGUACAGUGCAGAGAUCUGACUGCUUGCGCAAACUGGAGUCACCUUUUCUUUUCUAUUCUUCUAUCAUGCUUGGUAAUGAGUCUGUGGGAAGCUUCAUUGGGAUAAUUUAGUGCCUCCUUGUGUGUAUGAUUUGUGCAAAAUCUUGUUUUAUUUUCAUGGGCACUAUUUUGUAGAAAACGCCAGAGGCGAAUAUGUUACCGAUACUCCAUGAUGUGCGUAUGAAAGGACUUCUCUCUAUAUUUAAUUGUUUGACCAUAUGUAAAGUUAAGAGGACUUGCCCUAUGAUUGCAAAUAAAAUAUGCUAGGAUGCUCCCACCUGCCACAAGAAAAUGCAUGCUAGAGCAUUGGAAGCUGCUGGUAAUUGUUGUCAUUGGUGGGGGUGCAAUCAAAGCCGAGUUGAAUCGACUAGCUAGAGGUUCGAGCUUGGCUCGGAUCAAUUGAGUUUUAAUAUUUAUGUUUAGACUCGAUAAAUAAAUUAAAAAAAAGGUGAUACUUAAGAUCAAUUCAAUUCGGCUCGAAUAUUAAUUGAGCAUACUCAAGCUAAUUCGGGACUGGGCCAUAUUUUUUUCAAAAGUAUGGUUAAAGUAAAAUAUAACACCAUAUUAUAUUUUAAAAAUUAAAUUAAUAAUAUAUAGUAUAAAUAAAAUAUUAUAUUAUAUAUAUAGUAUUUUGCUAUUCGCGUUUGAUUUCAAAAAUUGUUGAGCUACUCAAGCUCUCAGAGCGAGCUUGACCCAAGUCAAGCCUGAGCAGCCUGUGCCUACUUGCGCCCCAAGUCGCUGGGUGGUGUUAGUUACUAACCUUUUGAUGUAAAAUGUGAUUUAGGGUUUUUGUUUAUUAGAAAAAUGCAUCGUUAGUCAAAAACUUUUUCUUAUCUCAAUUUGCAAGAACAGGUAAAUGCCAUCUCAUUGCAAUCAUCCAUCGUUAUGUUUCUGUCUUGGUGGGACAGAUGAGUGGGUGUGUAAGAUGGUGCAAAAAAUUUUUGGUUUCAAACCCAAUCUGCCAACAGAUCUAGAAGAUCUUUAGCAUUGAAUCAUCCUGUUAAUGAACUACUGUAUCAUCAGCGGUCCAAUCAGGGUUAGCGUGAGUAGCAUUUAAGUUACUUUGUCAGUGGAGAAGGCUGUCCAAAAAAUGGGCCAUACGGAGAGAAAAAUGGAUGCAAGGAAACCUAAUUUCCUAGGAUUUAUCUAUCCAGGAGAAGGCAAAUAGAUCAUAUUCCCAACUCCCCUGGAUCAUUAGAUUAUUACAGCAUCAACCGAAGAAAUGAUAUAUAUGGAAAUAGACAUCUAUUAGUUCUCAGGAGAAUUCAAUAUAUUACAAGAAUGCAUCCCAGAUUUCAUUUGUCAAAGAAACUUGCUUGGUUUCUUGCCUCCUAGGCAAAAGGGCAGGGGUUCAGUUUCAAGGAGCAAACUCCUGGUUCUGCAAGCUCCAUCUCGGUCUACCCACUCCAAUCCAAGUGGAAUAGGAUGGGUACAAGUAAUGAAUGAGAUUAGAACCCCUCCUAAUCUAUUUAGAAAAUAAAAAAAAAAGCAAGUAUCAACCACCUGAUACUAAUUAUUACUACCUUCUGCCUAGGUUUCCUGGGACUACUAACUUUGGAAGCUAAGAAGAGCUGCUAAUGGGUCUGAAAAAUGGACUGGGUCUCCAAAAAGAAUAUAGCAGUAACAAUUCUAAGGUCACAACUACCCUACCUCUGGUGACUUUGCCAACUGAAACAGUAUGCAAUAACAAAAAUAAUGUUACAUAAAGAUUUUUUUAUCUGCCUUCUCAAUGCCUCUAGAGAAGGCAAACAUGUCGACAAAGCCCAAGUCCAGGACCUAUGUGUAGAAUAUGGGGGCCAUAUAGACUUUCUUCAUAUAGAAAAGCCUGAUUCAUCAACUUCAUACAUCUGUAGAAGUUCUUAUCAAGCUAGUCUUUUAGAACUUAAACUCUGCUGCUACUUCAAUUUUGACUGCGAGGACAACAUUAGCAUAUAGGGCCCAUUUUCUGUACAACUAAUCAAAUGAAUGCGACUUUGGUUUAAACUCUAAAUCACCCAGAUCCAUGUAUGACGACAAAUUCAACCCUUGGUAUCACAAAGUUAAGCCUGGACUCUCUAAUUAGAUUCUGUUCUCUUCAUCUCUUUGUCCAAAACAUCAUUUUUUUGCCUUGGAGAAUCGAAGGCACCUGUACUUCUCACCGCUGACAGUUAUCUCAAGAGCACCAUCUUGGUUGUCCUGAUUUGAUGCGGUGCCCAUGAGAACACUCUUCUCUUUCUCUAGAUUUUCCCUCUCCAUCUUCAGCCUUGCCUCUUGACGGGCAAUUUCUGCCUGUAAAACAGUUGUACACAUGGAUUCAGGUACUUUUAUUUACAAUAUGUGAUUGUUGUACAGGGGAGCAUUAUCUUGGCCUUAUUCCAAAAUGCAACAAAAUCCAAAGCUACACAAUAUAUAUAUCUAUAUAUGCUAACUAUGCAUCUAACAUGAUCAUUGGUUCUUCCUUCAGUCAUUGAUGUCCUUAUCACAAAUAAGAUGCAUGCAAGUUCUAAUGUAAAUGCAGAAAAGUUGUAGUUUAUUAACUCUAAUAAUUGCAAAGAUUGCUCAGAUAUCUUUGACCAGCUCAUUGUCCAAGUAGUAGAUAAGAUUCUUGUACAUCCAAGUUGCAUGUACAGGUGCUUGGGCAACUACUAUGUGACCCAAUUGCAUAUAUGGGGCCACCAAAGCCUUACUCCAGGCAGCUAGGAGCCCCCAUAUGCUUAUGUGGCCAUAUCUACCAUCUUUCAGAGCAGUGAUUAACAUAGAGUUAGUAUUAGCAACAUACAAAACAAUUAAGGAACCACCUAACACAAGUCCCAGUGUUGCAGAUUUAAUGGAUAUUUUGAUCAAAGCUUUUUCUCUUUUUUCUUUUCCAAAAUGCUAAGAGAUGACAUUAAAGAUGAAGGAAAAUUUAUAAAAGUUAAAAGAAUAAGGGACAUGUUUUCUUUUUAAUAGAAUGUUAGCUAGAAAGAAGACUGGCAAACAGAAGGAAGAAAAGAAAGAAGCAAAAGUACAGAAUAUAAAAUUUAGAGAGCUAUCCUUAUCUAUGUCAUUCUGUAAAUAAAGAAAGUCGCCUCCAAAGACCUGAACAUGGCAUUGCCUAUGAUAUCAUCUUAGCCUCUUCUAAUUUCACUGCUUUCUUCUAACAAAACGCUUCCUUUAUUUCCAUGCUCUACAUCAAAUUGCAUACGACAUUUAAACUCCAACUUUUUUGUGCAUGUGUAUGGCAACCAUGGUUAUUCCAUGUUAAAAACCAAGAUACUAUAUCUUCAAUGCAUUUAAUGUAUCCAUUAACAAGUGAUGAGAGGAACAGAAAACACUGAAAGCAGCAUUUUUCAGGAAAAGCUAUAGUGGCAAUGUAGAGUAGUCACCUUGUGUUUCAUGUUCUAACAAAGAAGCUUCCUAACUAUUUCUUGAAGCUCUUGAUUCUUCUAUCAAACACAUAAACGUUCCUUAAUAUUGUUGGAUAGGUAAUAAGAGCAAUAUCCACAAUCUUAGGCUUAUUUGAUCCAGCAAUGAGUCAUUCUAUCCAAUAUGACAGCAUGAUGUAGCUCAGCAAAGGACCAUCACUGUACUACUUGGCAUUCACAAUACGACAACAAUAAAACGAGCAAUCAAGAAGGCCUCUUGAUUGAUGAUCAACCCACUUCUUCAAGAUCUAAAACUGAUUUGUGUCAUCUAAAGUUAAUUUUAGGAGAUAGCCCAUCUAACAUUAGUAUAAGAAGUAUAUAAUAUUGCAUAUUCUGGUAUUUUGGAGACUGAGAUUGUCGUUACAUACUGAUAUUGUGUUUAACUUAGUCUUGUUGACACAACAGGCAUCUAGUUUCAAUAUAAAGGUAAUUGAAUAAGGCUUCCUAAUUAUGGCAAUGCCUGAAACGGUAAAGACAGCACCCUUUUCUAGGUAAAGACACAUCUUUUCAGAAUUGUAUUUUAAUCAUUUCACAUGUAAGCAUGUAAAAUUUCAAAUUUUGUGAGUAAUCUAGAUAUCGGUGGUGGUAUGACAGACGUUCACAGCAUGGCAGAGAAAGCUCAACACAAGAGUGAAAAGAAGAAAAAACAACCUGCCAAUGAAGUGGAGAUGCGCUUCUAUGAUGCUAUGCAACCAAUGUACACCUUGGUGAUUCAUCUCUGGCAAGCGCAACGUAUGUGGUUGAUUGAAGAAAAAUGAAUGCUACGAAUAUAAGUUUUGGGCAGUAGAAAGAGUCUAAGGAAAUAAAGAUUGGUAUAGUAUAAUUGAGAAUAUUGAGAUGAAUAUGUGUUAAAAGAAGAAAGAAUAGAAUGCUGAACAAGAAUGGUACCAAUCAAGCACCAAGUGACAGACAACUAAUUGAGAUGGUAUGGUAGUGACUUGUGAAAUGAUGCUUUAAGGAAGCCUGGUCAGAAAGGUGCGUAAGUAUACAAAAAAGAAUAUUACAAAAUGGGGAAACCCUAGAAACAUGGACGGAAGUAGAACGAAAGUAUUUAAAAGCUUGAAGUGGCAUCAGAUGUUGCUCUUGAUAGGAAACACUGGACACUGAGAUCUAAGAAAGCCGACCUGGAAUACUGGGAGAAUUCUUGAAAAUUACAAUACAUGCUUUACUAAUAUUCAAUGUAUUCCAAAAGGAUAGGUGAAUUAAACUUAUGAGAUCCUUCUCCUGUAUGGCCAUAUACAUAGUGAUCCUUCCUUGCUAAAUAAGUUUAGAUUUUUUUUUAAAAAAAGAAAAACAGUAAAACUUUAUACCUGAAUUAAAACUCAUGAUUAAGGUUGCAAAAUUUAGAUCUCCUUGAACCCUCAUACAUGAUAAAAUACUUCCUAGUAAACAGUUGACAAAGCAAUAUUACCCACAAAGUUUGGUAAUUCUUUUCUAGUUAACCAAUCCUAACAGGAUAGCACUACUAUAACAUGAUCAAGUAAUCAAACAUUUGUAUUAUCUCCUCGAAAUAAAAAACUUAUCUUUUUAGCUUUUUUUUCUCCUUACCUCACGGCGAGAGAGCUCAGCCUUCCACGCGGCCUCGCGCUCGGCGACCUCCCGCUCCCUUUCCUCGAUGUAGCUCUGCAUCUCCCUCUCCUUCAUGAUCCGAUCCUGGAUGUCCGCCUGCAGAGCCUCCGUCAGCUCCUUCACGAACUUAUCCACCACCGCCUUGAUCCUAAUCGACAUGCCUCCGUUCCACGAGUCCCGCCGGCUGGAUCCGACAGCUAAGACCUAAGACUUCGAUCCCUCCUCCUCCUCCUCUCCUUAAGCCUCUAAUUUUCGCCGGAUUUCUGGGUUCUCCGGCGAGAAUCGACGGAAAACGCCAUGUUUUCCGGCUAGGGUUUUGAGCCGCGGGAGAGGCCAAGGGCGGAAGUUGUUACGAUGGAGGACGCUGGGGGAAGCGAGGGAAGUCGGGCAGUGGAUUGUAUGGGAGGGAAAGAAUCCGAGACUUUCUUCCGGAAUUGUCCUACGAUUUCGGCGAGAUUUACAAAAAAUGCCCUUCCUUGCGAGGCAGCUCACGAAUCUUUUGUCGCUUUGAUGGAGUGCACGAAUCUCAAACAUCAUCAUGCAUUGGAGCUCGAGGAUAUUUAUACUAAAAAAAAAACUGGAUCAUUUUUUUUACCAAAAAUGCAUGCCUAAACUAACCCACACAUUCGAUACACGUCUCUCCAAUCUUGAGUACCACGUGGAAGGAGGGAGGAGUUCACAAACUCGAACAGAGAAAGGAACGAGAUUUGGACCUUGAAAUCAAUGGAUUAGUCAAUAUACAGUAUCUUAUUCAAAUAAAACCUCGAUGUAUGUCAUGCUUUAUUAAUUGGUUGCAUAACAUAAAUUUGGAUAGCAACUUAUAACCAUUAAGAUUGCACUAUUCACAGAGAGGGAGAGGAUCCAUCCCAACCAAUGCCUUGGCAAGAAGUGCUCGAAACUCUAUUCUAAGAUGAAAAGCUAAUAAAUAUGAAUAUUUCUUUUUAGAAAAGGAACAUAGCAUGUCCGAGUUCCCCAUUUGUCCAAGCAUUGGUAUUUCCCUUCAUGAGGGGAAUAAUUUUGAGAACUAAUUGAAGUUAUAUUUAAGCACAAUAUUUUUCUUCAGACCUCUAAGGUCCAGUUAAGUCAGCUACCAAAUGCAUGGAUCUCAAUGGGCUGGCUCAAGUUUGGAUUGAAGGCUCCGUUUCGAGUUCACUAAGUGGAGCCAUGUAGCUAAAGUUGCACAGUAAAUUGAGUUAUUGUUAGGCUGCAAAUUAGGGCUAUCUUGCAGUCUGUGGACUCAUCCAAAUGGCAACAUGACAAGUUGCACCUGCUUGUAUAGGUAUCUUAAUUAAAACAAUGGAUUUUCUCUCUAAUCCCUCUUAAUCAAAACUUUAACACCAUACUUGAUGUUAUGGAGUUGCCAGGAUGAAGAUGUUGGUGGAGGAGGUGCGGUCGAAAACGAGGGCCUUUCUUUGUCCCAAACUCUCCUCUAAAUAUAGAAAGUGAGCUUUUUUAUAAGUCAACUAUUGUAACUUAACUUAUAUUGCAACUUAAGUUAUGGUGAAACUUCAAUUGCAAGCUCCAAAUAGCUUCUUGGUUGGUGUCUCCACAUUUAGAGUUGAAAUCUCCAUUUUUUGUCUUUUACAUUGGUAAAUACUCUCCAACACCAUUUUAUGUUCCCAUCAAAACUUGAGGUUUAAUCAUGUGCUUUGGAGUCUGAGAGAUUUUCUCUCAAACACACCCACAUACACCACAUAUGCAAGAUUGCGGUAGUAUAAAAGAAAUAUUGCAAAAACAAUUACUUCACUUUUAUUGUUGCAAAUGUUGAUCACAUUUAAGUUGUAAUUUUUGUAAAAUUAUCUAACUUUGAAUAUGAUGCUUUUGCCUCCGACUCCAUUGAUAUGCCCAACUCAUCGAUUUACAUUGCACACCGUACAAGUAUAAAAUAUGUGUUUUUAUUACAAAAAAUGUAUGCAUUCCUUUGAAGAGCAUAUGUAUUUAUCAUUAAAAUAUAUGCUUUCACUAUAAAAGAUAGGGAGCAUAUUUCAAUCACUCUUAAUCAAGGAGGGUAACAAAAAAAAGAUUAGUAUUAUUAUGCCGCAUGAUUCCGUAUUAAUAUCAAUUCUUAUGAAAUAAAUUAUAAAAUUCUCACCUUAAUAAAUGAACAACAACACAUCAUUUAUAAAUUACUAAAAAAAAUUACUGAUCUAAAUAUCUAUAAUUAAUGUAGAUUCAACAUGUUUUAAUCUUCUAAAAGAUAUCAUAGACUCAAUAAUGACAGUUACUUCAAAAUCAAAUGAGAGAAUAGCUUUAUCAAAAUGGUCAUCCAAUAUUCUAACUUGACCGUGCUAACAAUUUAAAUAAAGAAAAAAUAACAAUGUCACUUCGAUAUUUUUUUUUACUUAUCGAUUCAACCAAGUUAUAAAAAAAUUGGCAAGUCUCAGUUAAGUUUUGAUCAUUUUUUAAUAAAUAUUUUAAAUAUAUAUAUCUACUAAAUAUAUAAAAUUACAUGAAUAACCCUUGGUGUAAAAUUACUUUUUUUAAUGCAUUCCCUUAUAAUUUUUUCUUUUUACAUAUCUCUUCAUCAAGAAUAUUUCAAUCGUUUUAAUUUCAAACCGUUCAUUCUUAACAUAACAUAAAUACAUAUGCAAAAAAAGAAAGAAAUAAGGAUAUACAUGCAAAACAAAUAUUUUAUGAAGUUAUACAUAUAAAUAGUAAUUUUAUAAAGAUAUUUAUAUAAUUUUAUUAAUUUAAGAGGAUAUAUAUAUAUAUAUAUAUAUGACGNNNNNNNNNNNNNNNNNNNNNNNNNNNAAUAAAAUUAACUAUUUUAGCAAAAACUUGAGCCGGCCCAUGGAGACCAAGCCCAGCCCUCAAAAAUCCAACAGCUAGCUGCAUUCUCCCACCCCCAAAUAAAGCGAGACAUGAAUCCCCUCCUCUUCCGCUCAAAUCUUCAGACAGCGACGGCGCCUGCAAAUUUAUCAGGCGGCCGUCCCCCAUAUGAAACUCCUCUCCAGAUCCAUCUUAUCACUCGGUCCUCCUCGCCCUCCCCUCCUUUCUCUCUCCUUCCCCUCUUUUUCUCUCUUUCACACCAUUCCUCCGGUCCCCAACCCGCCCCCACCCCACCACCCAUCGAUCGAAUCCUUCUCCCACCUAUGCCUCCACGGUCCCCUCCCCGCCGCCAUGGCCGUCAUGGCCUCCCUCCAGGCCCACGGCCUCCGCGCCGAUCCCAUCUCCUACUCCCACCUCAUUAAACUCUGCCUCAACCAUGGCUCUAUCGAUGAUGCCCGGCUUAUCCACCACCACCUGUCCUCUGAUGGGCAUUGCCCAAAAUUGUUCCUUUCCAACACUUUGGUCGGCAUGUACGUCAAAUUUGGUCUCCUCGAUGAAGCACGGAAGGUGUUCGAUCAAAUGCCCGAGAGAAAUGUGGUAUCCUGGACCACCAUGAUUUCGGCGCUUACCAACCUCGAACAAAAGGAGGAAGCUUUGAUGCUCUUACUCGAGAUGCAGAGAGAUGGAAUUAGACCUAACAUGUACACCUUCUCGUCAAUCCUGAGAGCCUGCAUGGCGCUGAGAACCCUCUGGUCGAUCCACUGUUGUAUAAUUAAGUUUGGCUUGGAGUCGGAUGUCUUUGUUAGGAGUUCUCUUAUCGAUAUCUACUCAAAGUUUGGAGAUUUGGAGCAUGGGUAUCGAGUUUUUAGUGAAAUGGUCACUCGAGAUUUGGUUGUAUGGAAUUCGAUCAUUGGGGGCUUCGCUCAGAGUGGGGAUGGCUACAGGGCUGUAGAUCUCUUUAUGCAGAUGAAGAGGGCUGGCUUUUUGGCAAACCAGGGGACCUUGACUAGUGUUUUGAGGGCUUGCACUGGAAUGGUGCUGUUGGAGAUGGGGAAGCAAGUUCAUGUGCAUGUGCUCAAGUAUGAGAGGGAUUUGAUUCUUGACAAUGCUCUACUUGAUAUGUACUGCAAGUGUGGGAGCUUAGAGGAGGCAGAUGCUUUGUUUCAGAGGAUGCCGGAGAGGGAUGUGAUCUCGUGGAGCACGAUGAUCUCAGGCUUGGCUCAGAAUGGGAGAAGUUUGGAUUCGUUGAGACUAUUUGAAUCAAUGAAAGUCAUUGGGCCUAUACCGAACUAUAUUACCAUUGUGGGAGUUCUGUUUGCUUGUAGUCAUGCAGGUCUUGUUGAAGAAGGAAGGUACUAUUUUAGGUCAAUGCAGAAACUCUUUGGUAUAGAGCCUGGAAGGGAGCACUAUGGUUGCAUGGUUGAUCUUCUUGGGAGGGCAGGGAAGCUUGAGGAAGCCGUGAAGUUUAUUCAUGAUAUGAAUUUCAAACCGGAUUCGGUUAUAUGGAGAACUCUUCUUGGUGCAUGUAGAGUUCAUCGAAAUGUGAAUUUGGCAGCAUAUGCAGCAAAGGAGAUUCUCAAAUUGGAACCUGGUGAUGAAGGAACUUACAUCCUCUUGUCUAACAUUUAUGCAGACUCGCGCCAAUGGAGUGAUGUUGAACAAGUGAGGAAAGCCAUGAGAGACCGAGGGGUAAGGAAAGAGCCAGGUCGCAGCUGGCUUGAAGUAGGUAAGCAGAUCCAUGUCUUCAUUGUAGGAGACAUGUCGCACCCACAAAUGGACAUUAUUGUAAAAGAGCUGAACCGAUUGGUUGGUAGAAUAACCGAACUGGGGUAUGUUCCCAACACAGACUUUGUGUUGCAUGAUCUAGGACAAGAGCAAAAAGAAGAGUCGCUUCAAUAUCACAGUGAGAAGCUGGCUAUUGCAUUUGGGAUAAUGAACUCAACAAUGGGAAAGCCCAUAAGAAUCAUGAAGAAUCUUAGGAUAUGCGGUGAUUGCCAUGCCUUUGCGAAGCUUGUUGCUAAGACUGAAGACAAGGCCAUCAUCAUACGGGAUCCAGUUCGCUUCCACCAUUUUCAGGAUGGAGUUUGUUCAUGUGGAGAUUACUGGUGACAGCCAUAGGAAGAAAGACACGGUGAAGCAGAGGUGAGGCUCGUGUGGUCUUACUCUGCUCACCUGAUACCAUAGAGCUCCUCCUGCAUGCUGCCAUGAAUGUGUGGCUAGCUUUGCUGAGCUGAUUAAUUAUGAUGGUCAGUCCAGAGUGAUGAUGGAAGUUCAGGAGUUUGCAUGUUGGAACCAGUCAGGAUGCAAUAUAAAACUAAUCAGCUUAAUGUUUAAAGACAGUUAUCACAUCCCUUUAAAUUCGCACAGCAAGGUUGCAGAAUAUAGCAAAGCCAUUGAGACUUGGUUGAAUCAAAAUGAUCAUCCAUGGUCUCCAUGCUCGCCAUGUCCAAAGCUUAUAGAAGUAACCAAGUGGAUGAUAUGUCAGGACCAUGGAGAGGAUUCAUCCAAAAAGGGACAUAUGUUCUUGCUUUAAAGGAUCAUAUCUACGAGAACUAAUCAUGCUAGGAUAAAUUUGUAUUCAUUCUGAUUAUUAUUUUUUUCACAAAAUGUGAUCCCUAUUUGUUACUGUUUUUAUCUUCUGAACAGUUAUGUUUAUCUCAAAUCCUGACAAGCAUGGCAUGAUAUACUUAACAGAACAUGGUUAAGAUGGUGCAUGCUGUCCCAUUAUUCGCAGAUACAAGAAAUCCUUUUUUGUGCAAAUAGAUACAAUCCUUUUUUGGAAAACUACAAUCUGUAAAACUGGUGUCAGCACAUAGUUUGAAGCUGAACACUCUGGAUCUAGGGCUAUAUUGAAUUAUUCAUAUUAUGUACACAAUCUUAUCAAAUAAUUAUUCAUAUUAUCUGCAUCCUGGCUAUCAAAUGAUAGGCCCUGGUUUGGGUUUGAGUAUAGCUCAGGUCCGAGUCCAGGUUGGAUGAGAUAUGAAUUGAGAUUGGAUGCAUUUUUUCAGGCAGAUAAUAUAAAUUGAUUCCAUUCAUGUCAUUAAAGCUAUUCAUUAGUCAUGCCUUUUCAAUUACAACUUUGUGAGAAUUUUAGAAAGUAUGUUGACAACUUUGUGAUGAAGUAAAAUUCCUAGCUCUCUUAAUGGCUAUCAGAUUUUUUUCGCCUUUUCUUUCCUUUUUUAGAAAUGUUUGGGUUGUUUCCAAAAAUAUUUUUAAUGAAGACAAAUAUUUUUCAAUUACAAAAUCAAUUCUCCAACUUGUUAUUUCUAAACAUAUUGGAGACUUUAUUCACUCUAGCCUACCUUAAAACUUCAUAAAAGGAGCAAAAGAUAAUAGAAUAAUAUUGAAACCAGAUAAACGCCUUUAAAAGCCAAAAAGAUCUAAAAUUUUAAAAGAUCAAAAUAUAUUAGAUCGAAGGAUGCCGGUGAAUCUACUCGGACAUUGCGUUAAUCAUGCCUUCCCAAUUAUUUCUAUCUCCAGUAACAACAUAUGGUGCAUAUACAAUACCAUAGAGGGAAUUUUAUUCUAACAUGUUUGCAAAAAAAAAAAAAGACUCUAAUAUGGAAUAUAUUUUUUUGUAUCUCAUUUCGGAAAAACAAACUUGGAACUUAGCUUGGAAGAACAAAUGACCAGCUACUUCUAUCAUACAGAUCUUGGCAUUUUUGCCAUAAGUCUAUUGUUAUACGAAACAUCAUCAUCUCAAUGAUUCAAAACAUCAUCAUCUCAAUGAGUAUCAAAUUAAAAGUAGGGAAUUUCUUGCACGCAAGCAGCAAACUAACUACUUUUGUUCUAGAAAACUUAAUGUCCGGAGUAUACCCUCAUCCAAGCUUGCUUUGUGUGAGGGCCAAAAUGUUUCUUUCAAGGCAAAUUUCAUUAAAUACAUUCUGAGGUACAAAAGGUUGCCUAGUGAUUUGAUCAUGGGCCCAACAAUCUUGUAGCCAUGUGUUCCAAUCUUGGCUUCCCCUAUCACAAUCCAUACUCUCACACACAUGCUUAUCCCAACUCUUAAUUAAAUCACAAUUCCACGAUCAAGAAUCAGACUUGUCACCGAUUUUUUUGUGGGAUCUGGUGAAGCACCUUUUUUUAUUGAAAUAAUUAGGUAAAUAUAAGUUGGCAUUUCACAUUUAACCAAAAAAAAAACAAAAACAAAACAAACCCCCCGUCCCUAUCUCGGAAUCCGUUUCACCUAUUAAAAAAAAAAACAAAGAAAACGGUUCCCUCUCUCCUUAUUGAUUCAAAAUUUGAAGCUGAAAAAUAAUAAACAUAAUAUAGAGUGUACCAUAUUAAUUUGGUAUCAAUAUUCGGUAUAUAUGGUAUAGUGAUAUUCGAUAUGCCAAAAAUAUAAUAGCAAAAUAUGCCAUACCAAUUUAAAUUAAAUAACGUACCAUACUAAUUUGGCAUUAAUAUUUGAAACGAAUGGCCUACUAAUAUCUGGUAUGCCCCCCCAAAAAAACAAAAUCUACUAGUGUUUGAUAGAUGGGACUUCUCCCCUCCCUUGCCAAGUUCAAGCCGGAGACUUUGCCAUUCCUUCCCCGCACCCAAACCCCUAAACCCUUCUUCCCAUAAAUAGAUGGAAACAAAAUAAAACAGCAAGAUAAGGAGAAAAGAAGGAAGAAAAUUCUGGUCCCGAUCCAGAUCGGAAAGAAGAAUCCUAUUCCGAUCCGGUAGUCCAAUAAGAAGAAGAAGGAAAAUUAGAGGAGGUGGUUUUUGUUUGAACGGAGUCAAAACGGCGGCGGCGGCGGGGCAGCGGGGGAGGGUGAAGGCGGAGAAGGGGGUGUCGUUGGGGGAGAUGGCGAAGAAGCUGACGCUGUGGCACACGCGGACGUUCCGGCCGAUAUUCACCCACGAAGAGCUGGAGCCGAUCAUGGUGGCGGCGGGGUUCUUGCCGCUGCCGGUGAUGGAGGCGCCGCCGCCGCUUUCGAGGGGAGGGGGGACGGCGGCGUGGAGGGAGUACGCGUACCGGGCGGAGGCGGCGGCGGCGCCGGAGGAGAUGAUGCCGCGCCCCCGGCUGCCGUUCCCGAGGAUCGACGGGCUGCAUCUGAUGGCGUACAAGGCCUUCUUCGCCGCCCUCGAGUUCUACCUCGGCGUCCACCACGUCUCCAAUCUCUUCCACGUCAGGUCAGCGAGCCUCUCUCUCUCUCUCUCUCUCUCUCUUUCUCCUCCUUUGCUUUUGGGAUUUGCCCAUGAAAUUUGAGAUAAUUUACGGAGAAGCCACUGGAUUUCGUAGCUGUUAGAAUAAUCACGGUUUGAAAAUUCAUUGAUCCAAGGUCACAAAUUGGGCCGAAUCAGAUCGAAAGUUAGCACGUGAUUAAUUUGGCUAAUUUUGAUUCGCUAUGCUAUGUCCUAUGUGACUGAUGCUUGCGUGCAUCAUGUUCGCCACUUUUUUUUUGGUACAACGGCUGCUCUUUUAGUUAUUUUUGAUGUCACUACCAGGGCUCUUUGGUUAGAUGAAGAAAAAUAUAUGGUCAACGAAAAAAAUGGAGAAGUUGGAAUUUUUAAAUAAAAAAAAGCAAAAGUAGCUUUCAUAUGAAAAUAAUAUUUCUAUAUUUUAUGAAAAAGAAAAAAUUAUAUGAGACAUAAGAAAGUCCACUUCUCACCGCCUAAAAAUUAAUUAGAGUAAUUUUUUUUCAAAAAGUACUCUUAUACUUUUAGAUAGAAUAGGUAAGGUCUUUUCUUUUAUUGAAAGUAUAAUAGAUAUUUUAGGUAACUUUCUCAGAAUGAUAGAUGCUCAACUAAACAUAAAUCACUCUAUAAUAUACCACUUUUCUAUAGCCAAUCAAACGUGCAAAAACUAUUUUCUCAGCAUUAUAUAUCUAAACAUGCAAAAAAAUAUUCAAGUGAGAAAAAAUUCUGCCAGCGAACCAAAUGAGUUCUUGGUUGUAAUAGUUUCAACAAAAUUUCAAGUUUUAGCCUGUCAAAACAAAUGAAUUAUAGACAAUACCAAUCUGAAACUAGAUCCUAACUUUCAUCCUUUAUCAAUAUAAUGUGAACUCUUGAGGACAUCUUGAUCCCGAGCAACUCUUUCCUUCUUCGCAUCUAUGCACCAUUUUUCUAUUAUUUUUGGGACCAAUUUGUCUAUUGAUUUCCCUUCUCUAAAAAUGUUCCUCCCUCCUCUACAAUGAAUCAAUCACAUGCAUCACUGUGUUAAAUUCUAGUUGAUUUAACCAUAACUCUUUUUUUUUAUACAAAAAAAACUAUAACUCGUCAGAAGCACUAUACUCCUCUUUAGUUCAAUCUUUUUGUAAAGCAGAAACUUUUAUCCUUCUAUAUAAAAAUUUAACUUCUUUAUAACUUAUAUAUGUUUCCAUUUGGAUUCAAAACAAACAAUUAAAAAUUCAAAAAUCAAUAACUUCCAGCUUUUUCUGAUAAUUAUACACGCAAAUAAGAACAUGAAGCUUGUGGGACCUUACCCAUCCAAACCUGCUUAGGAUUUUGCAAACAAGGAUAAGAUAAAGAUAAUCCACUAGUUAUUUUUUUAGAAAAAACUAAUUGACAAAUUAAUUAAUGAAUAACUAAUUAGAGGCAGUUUGGUUGUGUGGAUGAUAUAAGUUUCCUCUAGUAUUACUUGCUCCUAAAGUUGUUUUGUGCUGAGCCUCAAAUGUAAUGGUGUAAGUAUAUUGGUUUCAGGACCAUGUCUCUUACGAAGGCACAGGACCGAGCUGUUGAUAGAACCUACCGUCCCAUGAGAGAGUGCGAGAUGGGAGAGGAAGGGAUGUUUGUGUAUCGUGAUGGCACAUUGGAUAACUUCACGAAGAUGAUCUGCAACAAUGACGAAGAAGAUGGAAGCAUCAUCAGUAAGAGCAGUGAAAAAUGCCUCAAGAAAACCAAUAGUGAUGACAAUAGCAACAACCCUGCCAACUUAAUCAAUUUUGUUGAAUGGAAAGACCUUCUACCAGGUAGAGAUAUUGCUGGCUUAAGUUGAUUUUUUUCAGUAUUUCAUCAGCCAAUUCGGAUUCAGCCAACUGGACUUCUGGUUCUUUUUUUUUUUGGUCAUUUCCCUAUAGGUCUUCUUGCUAAAUUUUGAUUUUUUUCUGAACUUUUUUUUUGAUGUAUUCAUUGGUAGGUAGCUUUUUGCAUGGACUAGUUUUGAGAGAGUUAGAAAAUUAAAUUAAAUAGUAUAUAGUAUAUACUGUUUUGUGAAUAAUCUGUGUUUGAAGUUGAUCCUCUUAUUUUUGAUGGUUUUUGUUAUGGGCAUGCCUGACUCAACUCUGACAGCUCGCACAAAAUGCCCUGGCUUGGAAAGUUCCAUAAACCUUAACCUAAGCAAAUUCUCAAAACCAACACACUUGAAUUAGCCCUCUGUUUUGGCCUUGCCCCAAAUGUAUACCCCACCAAGAAAAGGUAAAAAAUAAAAAGAAAGUUGGCUCGACUAAGACUUUUUUGCUUUAACACCUUGAUUAAUGGUAAAUUCGAACUUUGAAACCACGUUCGGCCGUGGUCAGCCCCAAUGAAUCCGUGCUGCAGUACUUUCUAGUCCACAUAGAUUAUGGGUUGGGUAUGCUCUAAUACCAUUUAUCACAAUUCAAGAACUCAUCUAAAAUGACUAGCCGAAAUAUAUUUUUUUUAUUCCUUAGUGCUGUGUAAGUACCCAAGAUCUCUCCGGCGAAUAAUUAAUGUGGGACUAAAUAUACACUCAUAUGGUCCUCGUAGUUGCAGGAUAGGAAACCAUGCCCUCCGGCAUUCCCCGUAUAUCUUGCACCAGUUCUCUCCCAUGGAUCUCCUCUUUUUCCUUUAUCCCCUUUCCCUUUCUUUUAUACCACUCUGCCUGCAAACGCCAGGCAUUCCUCAACUGUUAUUUUGUCUUACCUCCCAACCCAAAGAUCCCCAAAGCCAAGUUGGACCCAUCAAAGCCCUCCCAACCCACUCAUCAUCACCCACAGCCUCCCUCCCUUUCUUUUUCCUGAGGGCUUAGCCUAGAGCUUUGAGCUUUCUUUUUCCUGCAUCCCGUCUCCUCUUUUGUCAUACAGUUGAGCCUCUUGACCACCUUCCGCUAUUCAAAAGCAAGUACAGCCCUACUCGUUCAUUCCCAUCGCUUUCAUGCCUUUAGUUGUUUUCUUGUGCUCCUCCAUCGUCUCAUUGUCACUCCCCUCGCAUUCCAGUCUUGGGAUUUAGAUGGAGGUAUGCUUUAGCUACUCCAAACUUGAGUUGAUCUCUAACAUGGCAAAGCACCACCAUAACUUUGGGUAGAAUCUUUCUGUGACUUUUCUCAUAAAAGCCAUUGCUCCGCAAUGUGGUUAUCAUGUUAGUGAAUUUAGAUUAGGUGUUUCGAAAUGGGAUCAGCCUUGAGAUUUGAAGGUGUAGCAUGACUCUGAAAGGAAAUUAUGCUUUUGUUCUUCCAUUCAUUUCUAUCUCAGCAACACCACUUUUCACAGAAUUUCUUUGUUCCUUUCUGCUCAUAUGCCAAUCUAUNNNNNNNNNNNNNNNNNNNNNNNNNNCCAUCUAAGAUGGACUUGCUUUUAACUUUGGGAGGUGUCACGAGUUUUGAUACUUUCAUUUCAUUUGCCUACCAUUACCGAUUUAUCUUGUCAUUGUUCUGUGUUCUAGUUACAUGUCUUAAGCAAUACUGCCUAAGUGAACAAGAUGAAAUUUUAUAUCCUUUUCCUUGUUUUUGUGCAAAGAUCUUUACAUGUUCUAACAUGUAAUAGCUUAUAUGAUCAACAACUGCUCUGUGGAGGAUCUGUUCCCUCUUGGUUGCAUCAGUUUUGUGCUCCUUCACUCGUUUCCCUUGAGACAAGAUGAAAGAAGGACGGUUACAUUACAAUGAUUUGAUCUACAUUCUUAUUGUUCUUUAUCUUUAUAUUACUUUGUGGGCUGCAGACUAUUGAGCUCAAGGUGGAGAUGGUAGCAUUACAUGAGAAGAAACUGAGGAAAUGCCUGUCCAAAGUAAAAGGUGUGAAUAACUUUCCCUCCCUCCAUAGUGUACUGUAAAAUCUUGAGCUACACUCAAUUUCAUCUACAUUUUGAGCUUUAAUGAUCUUUUGCAACACUAAUUGGUGCUGUGGUGACUCAAAGGGAUAGAGAAGGUUGAAGUGGAGGCCAGCAUUCAGAAGGUUGUGGUCACAGGAUAUGCACACAGGAACAAAAUACUCAAAGCCCUGAGGAGAGUGGGGCUGAGAGCAGAGUUCUGGUCACCCCAUAAUGAGAUGCUCAGUGCUUAUGCCUGUGGAAGCCUAAUGAUCAACAACUUCAGCUUCCUCUAGAGAACCCAACACCCCCUGACACCCUAUGAAUACCUUUGCCUAUCUGUUUGUUUUUUGUUUUUUAGCAUGAGAGUAUGUAUUUACCCAUGUUUACUGUUGCUGGAUCUGUGAGAAAAUAGAAGUUAAAAACUUUGAACUUUUUUUUUCCUCCCCAGUUCUCUCUUCUUUUUGCUGUUUCUUGUGUUAAAGCAAAUUUGCUGUAACUCAGAGUUGAUAUGAGAAGAAAGAACAUAGAUUCUGUUGCUAAGUUGUCAAUGUUUAAUUUUGUGAUUAAUGCUAAAAAGGUUUCUAAUUAUUAACUAGAAGACGUUCAUGAGAACAUAUGAAUAUAUGACGAGGAGAAGAAGGCUCGUAUACGCUACAAUAUCAUGCAAGAAAGAAACCAUUGUUGCAAAUCAUGAGACAAGCAAUGUUUGCAUGUGUGCGUUCUUGUCUUGGUCCACUCCGUUAGUAGUGUUUCUGGAUGCCGAGCAAUUGUAUCAUGGUAUCUUCUCCAUGGCUGAGAAAUGGGUGACGUGAGGGAGUGGGGGAAGGCACCGAGAAGACCAUCGAUUAUGUGUCCCAACCCAGGAUCUCACAUAAAAACGUUAGCCAAAAGAUAUUAUUUUAAUUCCUUGGAUGUGUAUAAGUACCCAUGAUCUAUUCAAUACAUAGCCGAUGUGAGACUAAAUACAAGCCCGCAUGGAUCCUUAUAUAAGCUCCGACAUCCUCGUCAGGUUAGGGUUCAAAUCCAUUCAAAUCUAAUUACAAGCACCACAAUGAACCCUUAUGAUCCUGUGAUGCAAUUAUCUCCUAGUCCACAUAGACUAUGAGCCGGAUCUGCUUUGAUACGAUCUCAUCCAAAAAGGCUAGCCGGAAAAUGUUAUUUUAAUUUCUUGGCUCUUUAUAAGUGCCCAAAAUCUAUCCAGUGCAUAGCCGAAAUGGGAUUAAAUACACCCCACGAGGAUCCUCACAUCCUGCAAGCCUGAGAAAACUUGAUGACAUAAAAGAAGAAUCUAUUAGAUAGAUCUUGAUAGCCAAAAUUCUAGAUAUUGUAGGAUCUGAUAUCCUCUCUACUCUCUUUUUCUGCCCGUUGUCUGACCUGUUAACAAUAAAUAUAACUCAAAUGCAAUUACUAUCCAAGAACAUGCAGGGUAAAUUUUUCAAAAAUAUCUAGAUUCUAAUAACUUUAAUUAGCCACAUGCUAAUCCAAAAAAAUAACUACACUUUAACAGUGUAAUAGGCUAAACAUUAAAACAAAUCUACAACCCAACCAACAAAACAAUUUCUCAAUUUUCCAAGUUUAAUAAGUUCUACAAGAUGAUAUCUAUAAAAGAAGUUUUCCCAAUUUAAACCAAAAUAGCAUGGUUGGUGUUGCAUCAGGUUUAGGGCCUUCCUAAGCUCAACCACAAGCACUACCUGCCAGCUUCGAGUCUCCAGCUCUGAAAAAGAUUGGGAGAAAGAAAAAUUGAGCACAAAGUUCGAGAAUAACCAAAAACUAUCGUUAGAGGAAUCAAGCAAGUACAAUAAGAACUCUAGACACACAAUUUUCUAAUUUAAUUAUUUCCUAAAAAACGAAUCCAAAUAAAAAUUUAUAGUUAAAAAAAUAAAAUUUAAAAAUUAUGAAAUUCAAUUGGAAACAUUUUGCAUGCAUUAAAAAAUUAACUUAUAUUUGGUUUUGGCCAAAUUGAGAGACCGAGAUGGACAUCGUCGACUUUACACGUAGAUUUUUCGUGACAACAAAGUUGGUCAACAAAUAUUAAAAUAAGUCACCAAAGAUUAUAAGAUUGGUUUUUUUUGGAACCUUUAGAACAUGAAGAUUCAAAGGAUUUAGGCUAUAUUGUGAGAAAAUUUGCUAGAGGCUGCAAGCAACAUAUAUAAACCAAGUCUUAUAAUUUUUUCCUAGAUUGAUGGUAAAAACUAUAAUAUUUUACCAAAACUAUUACAACUAGGGUUGACGCUUAACUUAAUCAAGCCUUUUGCUAGAAGAAUCAGUAACUUCUCCUUGCACAUGGAGACAAGUAUUAGGAUUAGAUGGAGGAAAGAAUAUCCUAACAGAAAGGGAGAGAAAGAGAGCUAGGAGAUACCUUACCAAAAAGAUGAAAAAUAGUAGAAAAUGGGAGAACAGNNNNNNNNNNNNNNNNNNNNNNNNNNNNNNNNNNNNNNNNNNNNNNNNNNNNNNNNNNNNNNNNNNNNNNNNNNNNNNNNNNNNNNNNNNNNNNNNNNNNNNNNNNNNNNNNNNNNNNNNNNNNNNNNNNNNNNNNNNNNNNNNNNNNNNNNNNNNNNNNNNNNNNNNNNNNNNNNNNNNNNNNNNNNNNNNNNNNNNNNNNNNNNNNNNNNNNNNNNNNNNNNNNNNNNNNNNNNNNNNNNNNNNNNNNNNNNNNNNNNNNNNNNNNNNNNNNNNNNNNNNNNNNNNNNNNNNNNNNNNNNNNNNNNNNNNNNNNNNNNNNNNNNNNNNNNNNNNNNNNNNNNNNNNNNNNNNNNNNNNNNNNNNNNNNNNNNNNNNNNNNNNNNNNNNNNNNNNNNNNNNNNNNNNNNNNNNNNNNNNNNNNNNNNNNNNNNNNNNNNNNNNNNNNNNNNNNNNNNNNNNNNNNNNNNNNNNNNNNNNNNNNNNNNNNNNNNNNNNNNNNNNNNNNNNNNNNNNNNNNNNNNNNNNNNNNNNNNNNNNNNNNNNNNNNNNNNNNNNNNNNNNNNNNNNNNNNNNNNNNNNNNNNNNNNNNNNNNNNNNNNNNNNNNNNNNNNNNNNNNNNNNNNNNNNNNNNNNNNNNNNNNNNNNNNNNNNNNNNNNNNNNNNNNNNNNNNNNNNNNNNNNNNNNNNNNNNNNNNNNNNNNNNNNNNNNNNNNNNNNNNNNNNNNNNNNNNNNNNNNNNNNNNNNNNNNNNNNNNNNNNNNNNNNNNNNNNNNNNNNNNNNNNNNNNNNNNNNNNNNNNNNNNNNNNNNNNNNNNNNNNNNNNNNNNNNNNNNNNNNNNNNNNNNNNNNNNNNNNNNNNNNNNNNNNNNNNNNNNNNNNNNNNNNNNNNNNNNNNNNNNNNNNNNNNNNNNNNNNNNNNNNNNNNNNNNNNNNNNNNNNNNNNNNNNNNNNNNNNNNNNNNNNNNNNNNNNNNNNNNNNNNNNNNNNNNNNNNNNNNNNNNNNNNNNNNNNGAGAGAGAGAGAGAGAGAGAGAGAGAGAGAGAGGCGAAGAGGAUGCAUCUGAGCGCGAAUGAGGGGAUCGAGGGGAACAGAUUCGUGGUGACGGGAGGGCUGGGUUUCGUGGGAUCGGCCCUCUGCUUGGAGCUCGCGAGGAGAGGGGCGGAGGAGGUCCGAUCGCUCGAUCCCCGCCUCUCCUCCCCUUGGUCCGCCGCUCUCCUCCAUGCCGGCGUCCGCUGCAUCCAAGGUCUGUCCACUCGCACCCCCCCUCCCACCCCCCAAACCUUCUUUUCUACCGAUUUGAUUCCAUCGCGGCUUCAUUCCCUGAUCAGUUUCUUUAAGAUUUAUCAAGAUUGAACAUUUCUUCCGCAUUUUCUGUUGAAGAAAUCAAGAAUCGGAAGACUUAUGUUGUUGAGAUGUCUUUCUCGACUAGUGAUGGUUUUUUUUUGUUUUGGGACUCGUAAUUAGCGGGAAAUAAGGCUGAAUUGGAAUUUCGUUCAAGGAUUUAGGGUUUAGAUCUCUACAUCUUGCAGUAACAUCAAAGGUAGCCCGUAAUAGGCAUGAUUGCUACAUGGAGAUUCAUCAUUCCGGGUUCAAUUACUUGGGCGAGGCUGGAUGGUUAUGAUCCGUGGUGCAUUGGUGCUUCCUGGUUCUUGUGGCACCUAAUGCAAGAUCGCAUAUAGUCCAUGUAGGUUGCUAAAUGUCUUGUGGCUAGCUUAAAUUUCCCAAAUUACGGUAAAUUUGUAAGCAUUCUAGCUUUCAGCAUAUGCUAUCUUUAACCCAAAGAAUUUUCUAGCUUAUAGUUACUGAACAAUCAGUGCUCACUGUUAUGAACUUGAGUUUCAACUAUGGACUACCCAAAACAUGCGUAACUAACCGGCACUAUCUAAAUUAAAGUACUUAUCAAAGGUAACACAUAAUGAUGAGAUUGCUGAUCUUUUUUAGUUUAAGAUGUUUUGUUCAAGUGACACUAGUCUUUUCACCAAUCUAUAUAUGCCUGGUUCAAUCUUUACAUAAUAGUGAUACUAAUUAUAACAUCUAGUUAUAGGAGUUUAACCUCCAUUUCUUAAUAUUUUUCCUUCCUGAGUUUCAAAUUUCUCUUUCAAAAUUAUUUUUAGACUGUGUCACUGUUUCCUCUCUUCUGCUUUUUAAUGUUUGGUUUUGGAUUCUGUCAGGGUUUCCUGUUCAUGACUUUAUGCUUUUUAAAUGCAUGAUUGGAGUUGCAUGAUUACAAGGACACACAAGAAAGGUAGCAUGUUGGUCUGAUUUAUUAGGCUCUUAGAAGUCUUUAUUAGUGGACUUUUCCAAGCAGAGUGUUGAAAUACACAAACAGUCCGGAUCCCAUUAGUAGGCAUAGAGCAGAUGUUAAGCAGUAUAAGUUUCUCACUAUGAUCAGUUUACAAGGAGAUUGAUUUAUAGUCUUCAUAAUUUUUUUCUUUUCCUUUUUUCUUGUGGUUACUCUUGUUUUUUUCUUCAUCAUAUGUUCUACAUGCCUAUAAUCUUAGUAAUAAGGGGAAAUUAUUUAAUUCAUCUAUCCAUUUCUAAUAUUUCAAUGAUCUCUGUCAUGUAAAAAAAUAUAAUAGUCUUCCAACAAGGCCAUGCAUUAACAUGUGAAAAGUCUGUGAAGAGUUUUUGUUGUAGAAGGAUUGUUGGAUGAAUAUGUUUGAUCUUAUUGACCAUCACCCUAUUGCCAAUCACUGCCUUAUUUAAACUUAUUUAUGUUUUCUCUUGCCAAUUUUCCAAAGUGAUGGGUGACUACAUGACAUAGCACCAGCAGAGACACCUCUCAUACAUAUAUUUUGAUUUCAAAAAAAUUUCUAGAUUUACAUUAUAAUUUUGUGGAGUAUCUUCAGGCCCCAAUUUUCUCAUCCCAUUCAGUAGAUGACCUGGGAUUUCAACUGUGGGCUGACAUAGCCAGCAUUGGAUUAUAUAACCUGAAUUUCUUUUUUAUACUGGAGUUGAUUUCCAGUAUAGCUAUAAACGCAAUAGCAGUACCAAUCCUCUUGUUCUUCUGAAUGUUGCAGGAGAUGUGAGUCGGAAAAAGGAUAUUGAGAAGGCAUUGCAUGGGGCAGAUUGUGUUUUUCACCUUGCUUCAUAUGGUAUGUCAGGGAAGGAAAUGCUUCAAGCCGGGCGUGUUGAUGAGGUUAACAUAAAUGGAACCUGCAACAUCUUAGAUGGCUGCCUUGAGUUUGGUAUAAAAAGGCUUGUCUAUGUAAGUACUUACAAUGUGGUUUUUGGGGGAAAGGAGAUUGUGAACGGAAAUGAAGCUUUACCGUAUUUUCCUCUCGAUGACCAUGUUGAUCCAUAUGGUCGUAGUAAAUCUGUUGCAGAACAGCUAGUUCUGAAGAGCAAUGAUCGUCCGUCGAAGUAAGUGAUCUUGCUUUCUGUUUUGGAACAAUGCCCUGCACAUUCUUCUUGCAUCUUUAUGUAGAUUAAACUGGGGUUUCCAUGUCAUUUGAUUUGUGCUGUAAGCCUGUAAAAAAAGAAUCUCAUAUGGCUUGGCAUAUGGUUUCUGAAGCAGCUAGCAUACGUGUGCAUCCAUGUGUGUCUAUGCUUGCAUGUAUUUGUUCAUGUGUUUGCACAUGUACGUGCAGGCUUGUGCAUGUUGUUUGCCUUUGUGUGUCUGUAUAUAUAUACAUAUACAUAUGCACAUAUACAUAUACACAUACUUAUAUAUUUUUAUUUGCAAGGUAUGCCAUACCAUACCGAACUGGACAGUACGGGGCAUACCGUACCAUACCAGUUCGGUUCCGGUACGUGGUAUGAGGACGUGUCGACACUUGGUACACUGAACCGGCCCCCAUACCAGGUCUACCGACACAGUAAUAGGGUGGCAUUGGCACGGGGCCGGGUACCGAGAUGUUGUACUUUGUUUAUAUGUAUAUAUCCAUAAAUGUAGGUCUCAUUUUAUGUCCCUAAUAAAUAAUUCAUACAAGCUUAAGUUUAUUUUUUAUUGAUAAAUAUCUAAGAACUAUAUUUUGAUGUGCUAUUUUCCCCUUGCUCUAGGAAGAAAGAUGGUGUUCGUCUUUAUACUUGUGCAAUCCGUCCUGCUGCUAUCUAUGGACCAGGUGAGGAGAGGCACCUUCCAAGGAUUCUUUCCCUUGCAAAGAUGGGACUGUUAUCAUUUAAAGUUGGUAGUCCAAGUGUGAAGACAGACUGGGUCUAUGUGGAAAACCUUGUGCUUGCCCUGAUAUUGGCAAGCAUGGGGCUUCUGGAUGACAUUCCUGGUAGAGAAGGACAGCCUGUCGCUGCUGGUCAGCCAUAUUUUAUAUCUGAUGGUAAGGACCAACAUUCAUGAGAAAAAGCUUAUACAAUAUGUUCAACCUUGUUUGGUGAAGUCUGCUAAGUCCUAAAACAUGAUUAACUUUCUCAUGUGGUACCGUGUAUGCGUGUCUUAUUUUUAAGUUUUGGUUUCCUAUGCCUGCCAUUGGUAGGGGCUAUAUUUUCUACCUUGAAAGUUACUCUUAUAUAUCUGUAGUUUAGUUAUAUUAGGAUCUUAGUUUAGUGGAGCUAAAGUUUCAUCCAUCGUCAUAAAAAAGAAAAGUAAUGCUUCUUCGAAUAUGGCAGUUGUAUUGGGAUGCUUGCACGUUGAAGACCUAAUGCAUCAAAACUAUUGUAUGAGGUGCUAUUCAACUCAACUCAAACUGGACAAUUUGAUGGACGCAUCUGCGGCUUAUAAUUAAUCUUUGAAUAUCUCCGAUUCUGGCCCAAAAUUGGAGUUGGAUAUCAUGCUUGUGCUGGUGGAUCUAAGGCCUUAAUUAGCUCAUAGAGUACUUUGAGCAUUUUUUCCUCUUAUGCCUGCCUUUGUGUUUUCAUGUUAGAAAAGGAGAAAGAUACCUAAAGGGAAUCAUUUAGUUGAUGAUUGACUAGGAUAAGUUUGCAUAUAUAAGGACAAUUACACUGAGGUAAAAUUCAAGGAGCAGGAAUAGGGCCUUAAUGGGCAUAGGGGUCUAGGGAGCAUAGAUGAGGAUAAGGACACAAAAAUGGGCAGAUUGGAGGAAGAUUUGAGUAACUAGGAUGUACAAUGGAGAAAUCUAAAAGGUUUCUCUAGACUAUGAAUGAUAAUGUUUAAGAUCUAGUGUCUUGUAGAAGUCUGGACAUAAGGGCAUUAACAAAAGUUUGGUUUUCCGUAAUUUGAGAGCUUGUUAAUUUCUUUGUUUCUAGGCUUUUCGAAGUAGCUGAUACGAUAUGAUUUAGUAAGCAAUACUGGUUCAAGGAGCGGACGUUUUCUAUGCCUAACCCCCCCCCCCCCCCCUCUCUGCGGGAGGGGAGGGGAAGGUUUGAUUUUGGCAUUGGUACGUCAACAGUCUCAUGGAAGAUUUCUUGUUCCCUAGGCUUUUUGAGGUGGCUGAAGUCCACAUGCUUUAAUGAGGUGAUGCUGGUUGUAGAGAGAGGUGUGAGGGGAAAGGGGUUUAAGGAAAAUAUCGAAUAAAACCAUUUUUUUCUUUUCCAUUGUUGUUUAUUUCUUUUCCGUUGUUUAUUGCUUUGAUGAGAUUUACUCAGCCAAGCAUAAGCAGGCAGUUCAUCAUGCUGAAAAAAUGCUGUUUAUUCCAGUUUUAUGUGCAUCAUCUUUUGUGGUUUACUUUGUAGUUUCAUUACACAUCAUGAUAAGCAUGUCCGGCAUUAGCGUAACUUAGUUCGAUGCUGUAUACUAUAAUUGCUGACAUGCUGUUGAGUACCUUUUAUUCAUCACCUUGACAAGGUCAAUUCUCUUCUGUUUACAGAAUCACCUGUCAACACCACCGAAUUUAUAAUCAACCCUCUUCUUCGAAGUUUAGAUUAUGACUUUCCAAAAAUUACAAUAGAUGUUCAGCAUGCACUAUUUAUGGCACGAAUUUUUUGGGUUGUUUACACCCUGCUGUACCCAUGGCUUAAUCGCAAAUGGCUUCCUCAGCCUCUCCUCCUUCCUGCUGAAGUAUACAAGGUUAGUAUUCUUAUUGCAUGUUCUUAUAGUGAUUUGAUAUGACUAUAUUGUUAUCAACCCUACGUUCAUGACUUUAAGUGCAUAUAUUUGUAGCCAUCCAAUUUUGAGAUGCACGCACAUACCUGGUAUGCAUGCAAGGGCCAUUUUCAGUUUGGUACCUUGUUGCUAAACCAAGUCAAAUCUCAGUAACAGUGCAUCAACAAGUCAAAGUUGUAAUCUGCAUAAGAUCUAUUUAUGAAUAUUGAAUUAGGAUCAGUUUUGGCCUUUGUAAAUAUUUCUAUUUAUGUUUGACACUUUCAGCUGUUGCUGGUAACAAUCACAUUAUACCUUUAAAUGAAGAUUUCUCUAUUUCAGAUAUUUUAAGUGGAAUACUCCCAAAUGUAAUGCAUGUAUGGGAUACAAUGUUGUGUGAAGUUUCGGUAACUAUUGGCAAUUGAGGUUUUACAUACUAAAACAGUUAUUCAUAUGCAUGAGAAGGUAAUUCACACGGUAUUCAGCCCACAAGUCUCAUCAGUAAUUACAGUUGGAAAAAAAUUGCUGGAUAGUACCAAUUGCUAGUCUCAAAUGUGGUUUAGAAAGUCUUCAAAACUGGAUAGGAAAAAUGUAAGAGCAAAUCCAGGUAGUAGUCUUAACUUGAAGAAAAUGUAGAGUAAUGAAAACGUCCACAAUCACCAUAGCAGGAAAUACGGCAAAGGUCCCUAGAUUAUCCAACUAUAGUUGUGAAUAAUGAAAACGUUGUUGUAAAUCCUCCUUGCUUUUCUGCUCAUCUAAAAUGUAGAGUUUUUUGAGAGGAUGGAGUUGGCUAUGCACAAUCACUUCAUUUAUUUCCCUCUGGUUACCCAUUUCAUUGGCCACCAAAGCCCACAAUCACCAUCUUCAUGUUUGCACACCAUUUUCCUCAACUUUUACCUGUACCACCAUGCCCAACAUCCAUUGCCCACUACGAAUCGUGAUGGUCACCCUUCAUCAGUUACAUCCUCCUAGACAGAAAUUCACCGUGCAUGAUUAUAUUCACUUUAUUAGAGCAUAUGCAAAAUAUCCAAGGGAAAACAGGAAUUCCAUGAAAGGUUUUUCAGUUUUAUCUCACCCUUUUUGGGAACAUUAUUUUUAUGUUUUGUGAACUGUUGCACUAUAAACAACAAUUUCUAAAACAGUUGCAAAAGAGAAUUUAAUGUAAAAUCCAGCUUAACUCUGUGUCUGUGUGCUGACUUCUGGCUUCCUAUCUGCCAUUGCUUUUUGUUUGGUAGCCAUAUAGUUGUUUGUUAUUUUGAAGUCGUGUACUUCCUAGGAUCAGGUUUAUAUCAUUGAGGGAUGUUAACUGUAUAAAAAAGGGUGAAUAAGAGGCAAUAUCUCUUAUUCAAAUUGAGUUAUUUUUUUUUGUUUUUUUUUGGUAGGAGAGAACUUCAGCUUUUAAAAUAUAGUAGUGUUUUGCAAGUUGACUGUGAGUGAUGCUUUAUCUUGGGCAAAUGGUGGACCUUACAAGCUAGCUUAUGCUUUUUUAACAAAGUUAGGGUGUUUUCGUAGAUGGAAUCUCUCUCGCGCACAUUCUUAAGAAUGCAAAUUCAAAUUUAUUGUUUCUAGAGAAUGCCGUGUAUAUAUAUAUAUAUAUAUAUUGAAUUUUUAUUCCCAACAGCUGUUGUUUCUUUGUUAACUUGUAAUCUUUUGAUAUUACUAAUAAUUAUCAAAAAUCAUUUUGUCUCUCUCCAUAUAUGUAAAUUGUGCCUAAGUUCUUAAUUGUACAACAGUGCAAUGCAGAAUUUUCAUAUAAAUCUUUUUUCUUAUGUAAAAUAUUUGAUAGGUGCAAUGCAAUGCAUAUGUAUUUUUUGAUGUUGCUCGUCUAUAAAGAUUGAUGCAUAAGGCCAAUUAAUUAGUUUAAAAUUUGCAUUUCUUCUGAUUGAGGUUUGUUACAUUUUCAUAAUGAACUCCUGCCUUUUGCUUGUUGCCAGAAAAUUACUAAAUGUUGACUAUUAUCAGCAAUCAAAAUCCAGAUAGAUUUAUCUAUCACAUCCAGAAGUAAUUGACUUGUUUUCCUUUGUCAAUAUCUUUUACUGCCUUCCGACUUGUUAUAACCACGAGACAAGUAAGGCCUUCAGUGCUUUGAGUUCUAAUAUUCAAUUGUAAGAAGGCCAUAUUGCUACCCAGAGAGACAAAACAUUGUGCUGGGAUCACGUUUCAUGAUUACAACAUGGAAGCAUCAUUUGGAGAAUGCUGUAUGUGAAUAACACUUUAUCGCUGAUAAUAGGAGCCUUGCCCAGCUGGUUGCAGGCCCUGUGUUCGCUCAUUUUGUAUGCCACUAUGCAUAUCUUAUGUUCAAACCAUGUAGUAUAGUCUGUAGGUUUGUGACUGGUGUUAUUUAGAUCUCUGACCGAUGAAGCCUUUUAAACAGAUUGGUGUGACCCAUUACUUUUCCACUCUGAAAGCAAGGCAGGAGCUCGGCUAUGUACCUAUGGUGAGCCCUCGAGAUGGUUUAGCUGCAACUAUAGCAUAUUGGCGGGAGAGAAAGAAGAGAGAAUUAGAUGGGCCAACUAUAUAUGUCUGGCUUUUUGCUGUAAUCGGGAUGUCUGCAUUGUUCUCUGCUGCUUUCCUGCCCCCAGUUGGACCACUAGGAUGGGUGAGAGCCUUCAGCCUUUUUGUAUUUCAAUCAUUAUGGACCAUCAGACUCGUCUUCCUUGUAUCAGUAGCUUUGCAUGUUGGCGAAGGCAUCUAUGCAUGGCACCUGUCAAGGAAGGUUGACCCAAGAAAUUCAAAAGGUUGGUUUUGGCAGACUUUGGCCCUUGGCUUCUUCUCGCUGAGAUAUUUGUUGAAAAGAGCCCGGCGCUGAGACGAUCUCUCUUACAAACUGUAUCUAUUCUUGCUUUGAUUUGAUUCAUGCAUUAAACCUUGCAUCCACAAGCAGGUCAGACGAGGCUGGAUCAGAACAUCUCAAAAGGCAGAGACAAGCCACUUACUGCUUGUAGUGGGAGGUUCAAUUAUAUUAUCUUGGUAAUUAAUGCUGCAUGACUUGCUCUUUGAACUCUACUUACUGUAUUUUGGAGCCUAAGGUUAAGAGUUGUCAAAAUACAUCCGCAGACACUCGCCAUCUUGGUGCAGUUCUAGAGAUGCCGUAGAUGGCAUUUUCCAAAAUCUAUUAUGUUCAUUGCGAAGGCAGUAAAAACAUUUGAUCAUGUUUUGUUUCCUAGCAUCUUAUUGACUAUAUCUAUUCAAAAUCGGAAUGAUUGGUACCAGGUGCUUCAUCAUAUAUUUUUAUUUUUAGUUUCUUUUAAGGUCUUGGCAUGCUUAAGUUUUAUCAAAGAUUAAUUUCCUAGUUUUUCAGCAAAGAGCCAGUCAGUUUUUACCACUUUUAUUAGAUAUAUUCAAUAAUCAUAUAAUAUGUUUAUUUUUUUUCAAUCUGGAGCAUGUUGCUGGAUUUAAUCAGCUCAGCCAAUUAAUGUGUAGGCUUUGGCUUCAGACUUACAGAAAGCUGAGAUGCUUUUACAUAAUUUAUGCAUGUAAGCUGCAAUGGAUGUAAAAGAGUUUUGCAGUUGCAGUCGAUCUCUCAAUGCAGCGUCCAGUUAAAUGGUAUUGUGAGCCCACAAUUGUAAAUUAUUUAAACCCUAGUUGACAUUUCAGUGAGAACAUUUGCGUUGAGGACUGAUGAAAAAUGGUUCACUGUUUCAUCAGAUGUGUCUCAUUUAUGAAGAAGCAGCAGUAACUUAAGUUUAAGUUUUAUCUAGCGUAACUUCUAUAUAGUUAUAUCCUUUUAGAAUUGAAUGAUAGAGAUCCCUCAUCAAUAAUCCAAGUUAUUCCACAUUUACUACUAAAUUGCUUAUAGACUAAAAAUCAUAUUAUUGGAAAAUCUCUAACCUGUGCACUAAGUGGCGAAAAUUAUGUGUUCUUUUAUAUUAUUUAAAUUAUUUAAUUUUUGAUUAUUCAAUGCAUAGAAUAAGAAUCUCCAAAUGAUAUAAUUUUUUAUGUUUAAAUAGUUUAGAGAUGGUAGAUAGCAUCCAAAAUCAUUAAUGUAGGACCUUGUCACAUUCAAAGAAAUGAUAUAACUCUAUAAGAGUUGCAGUAGAUAUAACUAAUAACUUGAACCAGUUCUCUAUAAUAAUCUCUCUAGCAAGACUGUGAAACAAUGCUAAGCUACAACCAUCGAUUCCAUUCAGGUGGUUAAAAAAGUUUUUGCGGAGCUGCUGGAAAUGCAACUUUGACGGAUUCCUCUUAGCAGUGAAAAUUUAUUAAAUAAAUCAUUUGACAAACGUGGCAUAGCAUUCUGCGGAAGCCGAACAGCAAAAUGCAUCCUGUAAGUGAUACACAUACACAGGGAGAGACCUGAAAAGACUGAAAAAUGCUGCCUAUAUUUGAAAUGAUCCAAACAAGAAAGAACAGAAAAUAUGCAGGGAAAUUAACAAGUAUAAUGAAUAUCGGUCACAUAAUACAUCAUUAUACAACAUCUUCAGUCACUUCUUAAUGACAAAUCUAGGGAGAGGUGCGGACAGAGACUGCAUGAGAGGUCCAAUUUUCGCUAUGCCAUGAUGCAACUGCCCCUGGCUGAGCAACAUCUAAGCGCGCAUUAUAGAAGACAAGACGAAGGGUUUAGGGUUUGCGAGUUAUGGUUACAAAUGGCACAAAUUAGGUAGCAGUACAGGAUUUUAAGAUAUCUGAAGCUUUAAGGUUUACAGAGGGUGUGAACUGCGGUUACUUCCAUGUUAUGUCUGAGAAGCCCUGCUGGUUGCUGUUAUCGUAAGUACCCAUGCUCUGGUUGAGUGGGGUCCCGGGACUAUCAGAGGACUCGCUCAUUCUACCUUGUGAAACCCCACCAGGACCAGCAAGCUUUCCAGGGGCAGAUAUAGGUUCCAAUGUGUUCAUCUGAGUUGUCUCGUUCUUCCCGUUAGCAAUAAAACUGCCUGCUAUCACCUGCAAUGAGCAAUGUUGGUUACAUACCAUUGAGAAGAGAAACUUGAUAAAGAGACGAGAGCAUAAUGUAUAAAAUUUCUCAGAAUGCAAAAUCUGAUCAACAUGUCAAAAAACACCAUACUGAGUGAAAAUGCAGUUUUCUUUUAGCAUCAUCUUGUGCAAAUCAUUACACACACAGAUAUGCAUACGCAUGUGUAAUCCUUUAACACAGCUUUAUAAAAUAUUUAACAUCUAAAACAUGCACUAACAAUAAAUUAAAUCUUGCUGCAUGCACUAACAUCCUAGACUAGGACAGGCAUUAAAUCAAAAAGGAUAUAUGAUCCAAGAAUGGAUCGAGAGAGAUGGACAGAGAUUUAGGAACUGUUUUGGUCAUUUAGGUGCGAAAGAAUACUUUAUUAAAACAUAUCUUUUUAAUCUGGGAAAUAAACAAAUUAGAAAUCCAUGAGAGCUGUACAAAACCUGCAUAUCUCAUGAAAAGAUACGAAAAAUGUGUCAUAGAAGAUAACUUCUGAGGAACAUUUUCUCAUCCUGCAUCAUGAGCUUUACAUGGAUAGUAUAUGAUGGCAGGAAAAAAAAACUUGCAUCAACUUGAUCAAUCCACCAGAUUAUGUACACUCAAAAUUGUGAACUUAUAUGGAGUAAUCAUAUCCAGUAACCCCAAGAAAGACAAAUAAAAAGUAGCUUCAAUAUGAACUGAGAAUGACCUGGACAGGAGAUGCUGCUGUUAGAAGCCCAGCCACUCCUCCGCCUAAUACGCGACCGUCAGGACCAGCCAGACACACACUCAGUCCCCCUGUUCGGCUACGCUGCCCACCAUUCUCUGACAGCAGGAAUGAGCCAGAGAGUGACAAGAUUUCAAAUCGACCCUGUAUAUUGAACAUAAGGCAUCAAUACUGGUAAGUGAAUGUGCGAUCAAUAACUAAUACGAGUUAAUUAGUCAAAAGCAUAAAUUUCAUGUGCCGUACUACAUUAAUGAAGCAGACAAUUCUGCAACUACAAAAAUAAAAGAUCAUUCAGCAGCAGCACAAUUGACCAGAUUGCUGAAUUUCUACCAGAAUGAAGAAUAUCCACUGGACUCAUAACCUAGUUACAUGCAAAGCUUUUAAUCGAUAUGCUUAGUAUGUGCAAAUACAUCAACUAAACAAAGAUAAUAAGGGUGUUGUAAAGGAAACAAUCAGCUUGAAUUCUGAAAACAAACGUUUCUGGUACUAUGCAGAGUAAUAAAUAUUAUCAGUUGCAAGUUUCUAAAGUUACAAACCUCAUAAGUUACUGUUCCACCAGAUGUUGCUGCCUGACGAAGAGUCACAUUCGAAACAGCACCAUUAGCUGAAAGAAUGCAAACAGCACGUGGUCCCUGCUGUGAAAAUGCCAUAAUUUUUGAUGCAACAUCCUGAAACAUAAAAUAUAUUAGUUGAUGACAAUUUAAUUUUCGCAUAUUUGCCUAUGUAACUUCCAAAUCAGUAUUGGACUUAACCUGCAAGACCUGCAAGCCUUAUCCCAUUCAUUCACUGUUGAUUCAUGGAUCAAAGUAUAAUCCAUAGAAGCGUGGAGAACUUAAAAAACAACCUAUAAGAAAAAAUAAAUUUUCCAAACAGAGCCACCUCUGAAUACUAUAGACCAUCAACAUGGUGAGUUAGCAUUAAGAGGGGGGUGGGUCUAUUGGGUCUGUUAAGGAUACUUAGACCUAGGAGGAGGGGGAUUGUAAAAACUAUAUCUGGUGUAUGUGUACCGGCACGUGCACCCACUCAUGAGUGGGUGCGCACAUAAGAGAGAGAGAGAGAGAGAGAGAGAGAGAGAGAGAGAGAGAGAUNNNNNNNNNNNNNNNNNNNNGAGAGAGAGAGAGAUGCAUCAAGUGGAUGUUAGUAAAUGCGCACAGUUUGGUGAUGACUUCUCAUGAGACUCCAUAUGCAGCCAUGAUGACCUCAAUGGAAGCACACAUGGCACAUAUGUUGAUGAGAUAAUAUUUUGUGAAACAGUCUGAUGAUUAUAUAGUGAAGUGCCAAGAUAAGGGGACUGUGGGAGUGAAUUCUCAGUUUGAUUCAGUGAUUUAAGUAAUCACAUGUCUGUGGGAAACCCACAGGAUAGACCCAUGGUCUCAAAUAUAGGCCUUCUCAACAGUUUUGGGGCAUCUUUUUUACAUUAACGUCCUAUGAAAUAACAAAUGCCAUAUUCAUGUUAUGACCAUUUUUUGGUAUCAUGUGAUAAUCAAAAGGCUCACUUUUAUAUAAGUAUUUAAAAACUACCAUAUGUAAUGAAAAUGCUCGUGGUGUGCCUCUGCGGCAAAGCAUCCCAGAGUAUUCUCCUCCAGUCCGCUUAGAAGAAAACAAUCUCUACCAAUGAUUAGACUCCCAUUCAAUGCCCAUUUGAAUUUCAUUCACCACUAUAUGAGGGGGAAAAAAGAAAUAUCAGACAACUAACUUUUCCUUUUCAAAUUUGUCCAGUGCGAUUCACCACCCAUUCCCCAUUAUAUCACUUUACAAGGAGAUGAAGACCUUUUCAUCCUCUCCCUCCCUCCUAGCAAGCAUUUCAGUGGUAGAUGGAAUCACAGGCAUCCAUCACAUAUAUAUCCUUGAGAGAUCAAUUACUUGCCUUGAGUUUCACUGGUAUGGUAUGUCUUGGUACUCACGAGCAGACAUGCUAGCCGCAGCAUGCCAAGCAUCAGCACAAGCCAUGCUGCAUGCUUGUAAGCCAUUGGAGUGGCAUGUGCCAGUCAGUGCCAAUUAACAUGGAUGACACAUAAAUCUAUGGCUAUAGUCCUAUCUCUUCAGAAAAGUUAUCUUCAAUCACUUUUUUCUUUCCUUUUAUUUCCAUCAAUUGAUUAAUACCACAUAAAUAUAACUGUAAUAGAUCUUGCCUAAAUACAGAUUGUACAAGGACUUUUUAUACUGUCUUCUACUAGUGAGGCUAGGUAAGGAAACUUUAAUACAAGGGUGAAGUAUACAAGUUGAUAAACCAUGAAUAAGAUUUGAGUGUUAAAAAAAAUGAUACAAAAAUUUCAGCAGAAAAAUAUAAAAAAGGUUACUCAUUUUUUUGUUACAACAUAUGACUGGUUUUUUUUUACAUACAUCAUGAUAGUUUUUAUAGACAGAAUUUAUGUUUAUUCCAAAAGAAAAGACAAAUUUUAUUUUAAUGUAGGAACUGUUCGCAUAGAAAUGGCAAUGGUUAGGUACAUGUUUGGUAGACCGAGUGAUAUACUUAAAAGCCUCAGAAUUCUUUUUCUUUAAUCAAGAACAUGGACUGGCAGGAGCGAGCAAGUGAGAGAGAGAGUGAGAGAGAGAGGGGGGGGUAACGGAAGACGGAGGUAUUGGAAUAACCAAAUGCUUCGGGUAGGGGAAGAAAGAAGGUGGUCUUUUGGGCAUUCGUUAAACCUAGAGUUAAGAUUAGAUCGAGCUGGAGAUGGCAAUAAGAGGCCAUAGUUUUGUGCAUAAAAAGGCAAGGCUCAGCUGAUCUACGACAAACCCAAACUGCAAAUAAAUGAGAGACUCCAGUAUAUGUAACAUAACAAUCACAAUUAACAUUAAAUGCAUGAGCUGAAAUGAUGUACUAUGUCUGCUCCAUAAUAAUAGAGCAAAUUAGUUUAGGAGGCUACAGAAUCAGAAGGUAUAAACACGAGCACCUAAGCAAGAUCUCAUACUUAGAAAAGGCAUAAAAAAUGGCCAAUUAUAAAAAUGUGCUCCCAACCAUUCUAAAGUAUAUUACCAGAAAAAAACAUUCUAAAGUAUCAUUAAGAUAAUUAAGACUUAGGUUUAUGUUGAAUGUAAUUUAUUACAUAGUGAUGAAUUCGCUAAGGCAACAUUUUCUUCAGAAGAAAGCAAGCAUAAGACCUGGAAUAAGCCUUGUGCCUGUGAAACAGCUUCUAAGAAACAAACAGAAGGAAUAGUUAUUCUAGUCCAUCU